rnacentral:lncRNA from 1 species
UUUUUUUUUUUUUUUUUUUGUUUGUUGUUUCUAAAGCUUUGAUUUUUCUGUUGUUUUACAUUUGAUUCUUGAAACUCAAUGAGCUUUGGGGACUCAAGAGUGGUCCUACGGCCUUUUAACCUUUUACUGCUUUACUGGUUUACACCAUAGCGUGUGGAUGGAUUGAAAUUCAUUGAUUGUGCAAUUAGAGAUUCUUGGACAGAGGCGUUGAAUGAUAGUUUUCACUAAGGAACCAGUUGUUUGCCCCGUGACUCGUUCAAUUGCUCAGUUGUUCUCGAGAUGCUCUUCACGCAUAAAAAUAUUGAAUUAGGUUCAUUUAAAAAAUGAAGGGAAAAAGUGGUGGUGGGGGAAGGGAGAGGAGGUGGCAGGGAAAGAGGGGGAUGGAGGGGGAAAGAGGGAGGUGGUGGUAGCGGAAGUGAGGGAGAAAACUGGUAGGAGGCAACAGUGAUAGCAGGUGGGGGGGGGGGGAGAUGGGGUAGGUGAUACGGUAAGGGAAGGUGUGUUUUUGGUAUUUUGGGAUAUGGUGUUUUAAUAUACUUCUUCAGCUAAAAUUGCAAAAAAUUUUAUCUAUUAAAAACAUGGGAAAAAAAUGAAAUACCAAACAGAGCCUUAAUUACUUAAAGAAUGAAGGUAAUUUCAAAUGUCAUUUAUGGCAAUGGGAAAGUAAUAUGUGUGAUUAUUACCUAUAUAGAGAAUAAAUCAAAGGUUAAAGUUCAAACUAUGGUUUGCAAAAUAUUUCAAUUGUACUCGUUCAAACAACAUAUAUUUCAGAUGAAAAAGAUCACAUUUAAGGCCAAAAUCUAGUUGUCAUUUUUAACGAGUUCAAACACCAUCCCUGCCACCGCCACAAUCGGUGCCGCCGCCAUCCCUGAGGUAGGAAAAACAGAUUUGAUUUCAACAACAUAUGUGCUUAGCAAGCAUCUAGGCAUUAGACUACAACAGCAGACUGCAGAAACACAAGUAUGAAAGAAAAUAUGAUCAUUUUACCCCCCAAAUACAGGAAACUAAACUUUGGUUUCACAGGCAGUGCAGACGUAGCUUGGAACAGAAAAAGAGUAGAUAGUCUUGGAUCUAGUAGCUCUAUUACCAGUCAAAUGCCGUCAGACAAACUUACCCCACACAAAAUAUAAGAAGCCACAGUGUGUAACCACACAAAUGAACAGAACAAACCUCUUGUCGCUGAACUUCAAGUUUGCAAUGCCAGUCCUGUCACGUCAAGAAAAGCACAUGAAAAUUGAUAAAAUGUUGAGCAGUUUUUCAAGUUAUAGAUCCUAGCAAGAGUUGAAGAUGCUUUUAAAGUUUUAAUAAAACAAUUAAUGAGUUUAAUACAUGGUUAGCCAUCUUGCCCGAGUCCGAUACAACUCGAUAAUAACCAGAACAGAAGGAACCGGUAUGCUAUCAAUCUACAAAUCGUGGAUAAUUCUAUAUUCACGGCGAUUCACUUUGACUGGACCGAUAUUGACUGCUUCGAAUCCAUGAUGCAUGAAAUAAACCAAAAUAUCCAAAUCAACUUGAAAUCGACUCGAUUUUUUUUUUCGGAGUGUGCCUUUUAUAAUAUUUUCUGUUUUUAGUAAUUUUUUCAGAUUUUUUUUUGAAAAUUUUUAUGUGUUAUAACAUACGUAUCACUCGAUAUCUAACUGAUAUAUCGCAACGUAUGUGAAACAACCGCGACUGUGACCCACCACGCAAACCAUGUUUAAAUAGGACCGUUAAGAAAAUUCCAAAAUCUAAAUGAAAAAGUUUAGCACAAGACAAGACAAGCACCAGCUUCCUUUUCUUAGUAACCGAACUAUGACAAAGAAUGAAGACAUGAAGAAGACAAUUACUCUUCAGUCUUCAUACGUCUGUUCUGAAUAUGUUUAAAUUCAACUCAAUCCCAACCCAUUCAAUAUGAUUUGACAUCCACACAGAAAAAGUGCAACAUGUGAUUGGGGAACUAUAUCAGCAAUUCUUCACCGCUUUAUCGAAUUAAUUUAGUUCUAUUCCUUUGCCAGAAACAAUACACCAUUCAUGGAGGAUUUUUUCCUCAAAUUCUCCUCUGUUCCAAUCACUUCUCAUUUUUGGGGUAAGAGAGGGGGAGGGGGUGGUUGUUGGCUAUCCAGAAGGUCAGCCUUUUAGUAUCAGGACUCUAAGGCUUCUCCCAGUAGAAAAAGUAGACAACUAAGAAUUUGACAGCUAAGAGCUUGUAACAUCAGAUCCAGGUUAUAUUACUCCAUGCCAAAACAUGAAACAAAGAAGACAAAAAAAUUUAACACUAACCUAACUCAAAAGGAAUUUGCUUCAACAUGUAACUGAAUUAAGUAUGAUUAACGGACAAAAUCAACAAAACCUAUUUAUAGUGAUUAGUAGAAAUAAAUGGUGAAGGACAAAUAUCUUCUCGAUCCAAAGGCAUGUUCAGUAUGAAUAUGGAGACUAGGAAGAAAUUUUUCAAAUAAUAUUAUUCUCAAACAAAGCAGGAGAAAGAGAGAACCUCGAGCAAGCUGACUUUGUAAACUCCUUGAUAUCACACAGAGUUCUGCAAUUAGGAAAGAAAGUUAACAAGAAUAAUGAAAUCAUGAUUCAAUAAAAUGACCAACAAUGUAUAGACGAGAGGAGCUAUUGAUUGCACCUUUGAACCGCACAAGCGAAAACACAAGUCCCUAUAGUCAGCUGUAAACAGUCACCUGGCAGGGACAAAAAAUUGGAAUUUUUUGAAUAAACAAAACAGAAUCACAUUUGAAAUUCCAAAAAAAAAAUUUCCUUUUUUCCUGAAAAAAUUCACAUUUGAAAAAAAAAAGAAUUUGACAAAAAGAGCUUACUGAAUGAUAAUUCCUUGAAUUCAGCCAUAAGCUCGUGAAAUUCUCUUUUAAGAUGUGUAGCAGACCUGCAUAAGAACAUAAAUCCUCAGGAAUUAGUAGAAGAAAUUGCGAGAAAUCCUGUAUUUCAAUUCUCUUGUUCUCGAAUCAGUUCUCACAUUUUACAAUCUGUUCAACUAAACUAAGAGGUUUCACUUUAGAAAAGUAAGCUUUGCCCUUGAAUGCCCAAAAAACUCUUUGCGGACCAAGCUACUACUGUAUUGCAGGAAAAGCCAAUUGCAGGAUGAGCCGCACUCCUGGAUUUAGUCAUCUUUUAACAGUUAAUAGAAGAGAAUAGAGAUUCAACCUAUCUUAGAACAGACACUUGUUCAGCAAUCCAAGCUCUCAAAACACUAGAUAUGUGUUGAUACUUAUGAACUCUGCCAAAAGUAAAUUAUGGGCCAUAGAAGUAUAUACAAGGAGCCACCAUAUUCGAUGAUCACAUAACUCUUUCAAAUGACUAAUAAAUUUUCCAAAUUGAGGAGAAGAAGACAAAGGAUCUCAUAUUCCAGAAAAGUUCUAUUUGCUCAAAAGAUACAAAAUACCAAUAAAGCAGAUAGUUAGCUCUAACACAACCAUUAUCUGCUAAACUUACAAAAAGGGAACAUAACAUGCAUUAAGGAAAGAGAAAAAAAAGUCAUGAUAUCUGAAUCAAUUUGUAAAAGAACUACCAGGAUGAGAACUGGCGGCGGGCAGGCAGUAAAGCCGUUGCUCUUGCACUUGCACCGCUCCUCGCGGUUGAAGACCCCGCAAAACCCGCUGAGAAAGGGCCAACGGGGGUAAAAUAUUUGCCUAAAUUCCGCCUGAAACGAAUACAUACGAAGAAAAAAUUUAGGCUAUAAGAUAUGUAUACAUAUGUGUUUGUUGCAUUAGAAAUAAAUUAAAUUAUAAACGAAAUCGAAAGAUAAUCGAACAAAAUGCCAUUCGAUCUAACCGAAGAUGCAUCGCCAUCGCUCUUACUGAGUCACUGCAAAGUCCAGAAAAUCUACAAAGGAAAAAAAAAAAAAAAAAAAAGAUCAAAGAGCAGACAUGUAAAUAACCAAGCAUCAAUUUUUCUGUUGUUUUACAUUUGAUUCUUGAAACUCAAUGAGCCUUGGGGACUUAGAGUGGUCCUACGGCUUGUUAGCCUUUUACUGCUUUACUGGUUUAUUCCAUAGCGUGUGGGUUGAUUGAUGAUAGUAUUCACCAAGGAACCAGCUGAAGGGCAUAAAAAUAUUAAAUUAGAUUCAUUACAAAAAUUCAGGGAAAAAGUGGCGGCAGGGGAAGGGGAGGAGGUGGCAGGGAAAGAGGGGGAUGGUGGUGGCCGGCAGUAGUGACAGCAAAGGGAGAGACGGAAGUCGUGAUGGAAGAGGUGAUAUAUGGUGAGGGAAUGUGGUGAUAGAAAAGGGCACAAGGGGUGUUUUUGGUAUUUUGGGGGCAUAUAUAUAUAUAUAUAUAUUUUUUUUUUUGCCCUUUGGUUUCCCUGGGUUUUGUAGGCAUAUAUGCGAUAACUAAACAGCUCUUACUUUUGCUUGACAAGGACGAAAUCUUGGAUUUUUGGAGACGCUGUUAGGAAAUCAGAGCCAUGGCGAUGCAGCAGCUGGGGUAUUACUUUCCUUCUUCUUGUCCUCCCCCCCCCCCCGACCCCCUCUCUCUCCCGGCGGUAUCUAGAGAGAAAAUGAGUUUUGAGAAUUUCUUCCUGUAAUCGAGCAGUUCGGGUUUGUCUUUUCUUUUGGCAGCCGCAAUGCGGGUGCAUGCUUUGCGUCGAGGGCGGUGUCAGCUGGUUUGGGGGCUUCAUCCGUUAAGAGAGGAAAAACAAUAACUCUGCCACCUGCUCGCAGUUUCUGUUCUGAGUAUUCUCUACUACACUGGAUGCCCUUUCCUUGUUUUAUUUCCUGUUGUAUUGACUCUGCUAAGAACAUGUUGGUACUCUAUUAUAUAAAGAAUGCAAGAUACUCGUUUUCCCUUUUUUUUUAUUGUACUGAUUUAGUGUUAUUCUUUGCGCCUGGAAGUUUAAAGGAUUGUAUAUAUCGGUCUUGGAUGAACAUGAAGGUAAUAAAAUUAACCUUCAUAGAUGUUAAAAGGAAAAAACACCUUCAUAAAUGUUAAAGGUGGGGUUCAAUAUUAGGUAAUGAUACUUAAUUUAUUUGUACUAGAUUCAUUCAUAGUAUGCGCUUGGUGCAUACCUGUUGACCCAGUCGUCGUAAAUUUGUUUUCAUACUUGGCAUUCCUUCUAAUCGAGUUAUCUGAGCCAAGUCUGGGUCAACUAAGUUGGCUUAUUUGCAUCUUCUAUCAUUGCUUCAUCCUGGAAAUCAAAUGCUUUAGCUUACAAUAUAUAUAUAUAUAUAUAUAUAUAUAUAUAUAUAUAUUUAGCUUAUAUAUAUAUAUAUAUAUAUAUAUAUAUAUAUAUAUAUAUAUAUAUAUAUAUAUAUAUAUAUAUAUUUUUAUGAAUUCCUUCAGAAGUUGAUUUUCUCUAGCGAAUUGUUAAUGCCGUGUGAAGUAGGCAUUGUGGAAAACAAGGAAGAUUGCUUAAUGAUUCAAUCAACCUUUAGGGCUUUCAGAUAUUGUGUCACCACGUACGACAUAACUAGUAUUUUGGUGUUAUUGUCAUCACUAGGUCAGCAUGGGCUUUGCAUAUUCUUGUUGUCUACCUCCACAUCAUGAAAAUGAAAAAUACAUAACCAGAUUAUAACAUUGAACAAGGUGGCACUGACAAAAACUUGUGAAGCAGACUUGCAUAAAAUCAUCACCAGCUUUAAAUUUUCCCAAAGAAACGAGCAGAUCCUUGCUCUUGCUUUCGUCUACUGUUUUUUGCCUUGCCAUUUUGCCAUUGAUGUUGACUUGGAAUUAGGACUCCAGUUGUUCCACGGCAAUCUAUGUGUCAUGAUUUGUGACUGGUCUGCUUCUCUUAGCAUUUUAAGCAACAGUUUUGUCUCUUGAAAUAGUGAUCCACCCCGCAAGCUUUGCAAAGCAAUAAUAGCCAGACCUUUUCAAACACUCAACCCUGGACCCUGUUACAGGGGCAAAACAAGUACCUCGGUGCUUAGGACUCAUAAUGCAGGAAUCCAACUCUACCAGCCCAAGCAAUGUCAAAUCCAGUCAAUCACAAAAGCUGAAUGAAUGAAGGCUCAUCAGCCUUUGUGUUGCAUAUAUGUAAACCUAUAUAUGUCUCAGUGUGUAGGUAAACUUAUGUAUCCCAAAGAAUACACGAUGUAUGUAAUCAGUAAAUUCUGGCGUAAUUGCAUUUUCGAACAUCUCAAUAUUCCUCUAUUUGUAAGUUGUAACCCUCUCUCUCUGUACGAAGUGCUAAGUGGCUCUAUAACCUUUGGUAUUUGUGGCUUUCUCUUCUCUUUUCUCCUGUCGGUACAAAGUGUUAAAAAGAGAGGACAAGAUACCAGAUUAGAUAUGUUAAUAAUGGAAGGUCAUAAAAGAAUGAAAGAAUUUUUAGGAGAGGGGGGGGGGGGGGGGGAGAGGCAGGGGUUUGUUGUGGGACUGAGGGUGCUCCUCAUUGAGAUUUGAGUUCUUCACCUUUUACCUAGCCAGAGCAUUAUUUGACUUGUCCUGUUGUGCAGUGCUACUCCACGUUUGAAGGAAAGGCUUCAUGAUCGCGUGCUUAAAUUUUUGGGUAAGAGUUACAGCAGGAUUGUUAGUUUGUUUAUUUUCAUCAAGUGCUUUUCUUUUCUGAUUGUAUUUUUUUUUUGUCCCCUUAUACUGUCAGACUACAUCGCUCCGUUGCCUCUACUGAUGUUUGGUGGAUGUCUUGAUGUCUAUUAUGACUAUAAGGAGGAGAGGUACUUGAUUCAAUUGUUUUUUUUUUUUUUUUAUUUUCUCUUAUCUACUUCAGGACAUUUUUUGGCAUUUGAAAUGAUUUUCUUUCAACGUUGUUUAAUUUCAAUUUUUCAGCCGCAUUGUUGAUAGACGAGUUACUUAUUUUAUUGCUGCAAAUCUUACUCUUCUUUAACCUCAAAAUGACAUAUAGGACUUACCAAGCAUAUUUUUGUGCACCAUUUUUCUUUAUAUCCUUUGGUUGAAGACAUCUGGGACACGGUACAGCUCUAUAAAGGCUACUUCUUGCACUUUUUGAUGACGAAGUCAAAAUUAAAAUAAGCUGUUCAAUGGGAAGAGAUUUUCUUUGCCUCUGCAUUUGUAUUUCAAGUUCAAAAUUUUAACCACUGCUAAUUAGAUUUCUUAUUUCACCCUACUGUAAAGGCAAAUAGUUUGUUAUGUCUUUGCAUUUCAUGCUUGUCAUACAUAUUGAUUGCAGUAGUUGCAUGCAGUCAGGUUAUUAGACUUUAUGGCAAUAGGCAAACAGAACAACAUGCUGAUUAUACAACUGUUUUCUUUAUCUUCUGUCAAGUUUCUGAAUAUCUAUUGGGAAUAUUUUCCUUUAUGUCUUUGAAAUUCACGCACAGUACACGCUUGCCCAAGUUUUUGACUUAUGAGCACCGGAAAGUUCGGAGUUCAUUUGUUUGUUUCUUUUUUUUUUGUAGCAACGAUAAUAGUUUAUAUAACCUAUUCUAAUCUAAUCUAAGGAGACAGAAAGGGGAAAGCCACAAAUAGUGGCUAGUGGGAGGCAAGGAUCAAAUCCUUGACCUCCAACCUCUACCAGGACUUAAAGGCGUCUUGGUGACCUUGGGCUGUUGGCUUGGAGUUCAUUUGUUGUGUUGCUGAAAUGCUUUGCUGCAAUUUGAUUGAUGGCUCUGUUCCUGCAAAUUGGCUUGCCAGGAGAUUAUAAAAGAGCUAAAAGCAUCUACUUGCCUAAUCUGAAAGAAUCUUGCUAGAGUUGCUGAGUUUGCAUUUUAGAAAAGAUGAUUGCACUGUAAAAUGAAUGGAGAUUGGUAAAGGAAGUUGGCGGUGAGAUCGUGGUUGUGUUUUUAGGUAACUUGGAUUUUGUGCGUGCAAGCUGAGAAAAAAGCUGAGAGAUAGGGUCAUGAAUUUGUUCUAUAUUUGUACUGUGGUCAUGCCUUUGAAUGUAGUGUACCUCUAAGAUUUAAUCUUUAUCUCUGCUCCUACGGGUGUAGAUAGUCAGAUGCGUUGAUAUGAUACUUUGCUUACAGUUGAUUCUUUGUCCACCUUGUCUCAGUAUUUUGUGCUAGAUGCUGUUAUAGUUGCUGGUUACUUAGCCGUAUGUUUGCUGACUAAGUUAAGCUUGCUAAAUGAGCGAACUCAGCUACUUAGCAGAGGUGAUUUUCAGGCAUUUAGGUGCAGUUUCAUCAAUGGGUUAGUCUUAUAGCUUGUAGUAGUGGUUUUGUAUUUGUAUAUGCUUACUCCACAUAUCUACUUGCACGAUUAAGGGGAUAAUGGUAUUGAACCUAGGGCCUUGGUGAGGGCACCUCACUUUGCUGGUUGUGGGACGGUUACACAGGAAAAUUAUGUAAUACCCUCUUUAAAUGCCUUGCAUUGAGCACAUCAUAUUUAGCUAUGUUUAUAUCAUGUUGUUGGCACAAAUUUGUAGAUGUUUAUAAGCUAGCUGUAUUUGUCUACAAUAUGAAAUAGCACUCCUUUAUACAUAUGGACUUUCCACUGUGCUUUCAUGUAUGAAUUUUUCAAAUUGAUUAGAGGGAUGUCCUUGAUGUCAUGAACUAUUACCUCCUUUUCUGGAGUAACAUUUGAAUUGUAAGUUCUCAUGGUAACUGGUAAAGAUUAAAUAAGGGGGCUAGACAAUAGUUGGACAAGAUUUGGCAGGUCAAAGAUGAUUGUUGUUCUUUUGCUUCAUUUGUAGUUACUUGAAAAAAUGUGUACAACUGAAUUAGUGGCAUGCACAACACAACAACAUGAAAUUCAUUUUCUGAACCUCAGGGAUCGUGGUGGCUUCAGCGACGUUAACGGCGGUGGCAGCGUCAGGGAGGGUUGAAAGUAGUAGCAAGGAUAUUGUUGAUUGAACUAAGCUAAGACAAUUAAUUUGAUACCUACCAUCUUGUAUGGUUGUAGUAAAUGCAAGAAUGCUAGUAUUACAUUCUUAAUCCUCCUAUGUACGUACUCUUUUUAUUGCAUGGAUUCUCUUUUUAAUAAUAUAUAUGUAAUGUAUUUUCAGAACUAAAGAAGAUUGAUGCAUAACUUUCCUCAGAACUAUCGUACUCGUAUCCCAAAAAAAAAAAUAAAGCAUUAUUACAUGAAUUUAAGUUAAGGGAACAUCCGAAAUCAGAAUAUGAAGCAUUCUUGAUAGGAAAAACGAGAAUAUGAGAAACAUUAUUGGAAGGUUUCUAUCAUUUGGUUCUCUACUGCCCAUGGAACCAAAAUUGUGCACACUUAAUAAAUUGAUGAAAUUAAAAUUAUCUAAAACAACCAAAAACACGAGACCCAUCGAUGGUUUUGGCUUCGUUUGAAGUUAGAUAUCUAUCAUCAUAGCUCUUUUCGUGCGCAUACAAAUUCAUUGAGGGAAAAUCGUUCGAAAAGUUUCACAUUUUGUCAAAUGAAAUUUUUUUUUUUUUUUUUGCUCUUCACUUUUAAAAUGUUAGUUUUACGGCCCUUAAAAAAUUAAAUUAGCAAAAUUUAAGUUUGGUCCAAACUUAAGUUUUCGACUACUUUUUAAUCUGAAAUCAUCAUGUAAUCCGCAUGUAGUCAUUUUUUAUGUACAAAAAGAUCAUAUCUCACUUUUUUAGUUGUAAAAAUGAUUAUAAAUUAAGUCAAAUCUCACUUCUUUAAGAAAAAAAAAUUUAUGGUUCGGGUCAAAUCCUUUUUUUAAAGGGCAAAAAAAAAUAUGGAUCGAGUCAUUGAUUUAACUUCAAAUGGGAUUUAACUUUUUUGCCUCAAAAAAAUGAUCAUGUGUGGUUCAUGUGAAAGUAGCUAUAUAUAUAUAUAUAUAUAUAUAUAUAUAUAUAUAUAUAUAUAUAUAUAUAUAUAUAUAUAUGUAUGUAUAUAUGAAAGUAGCUAUUUUAAUUAGAGUGUUUCUCACUCCUAUGUGGCAUGCUUAAUUGAAGAGAAUUAAUGGAUUAUAGGUCAUUUGGGUUUAACCAAUAUUAAAUAUUAUAUUUUACGUUUAAAAAUUAUUCCUAAUUUUAAAAUCAAUUUAAAAAAUAAUUAAUCUUAUCUUAAUAAUAUCUAAAAUGACUUUUAAAAAAAACUAAUCUUAUCUUAAUGAUAUCUGCUUUCUAUCAAAUUAUUACUUAGAACUAUAGUAAAACCUUUCUCAAAUUACAAUUAUUAAAAUCUUACAUAAUCCAUAAAUUACGUCCUUUCAUCACCAUAUCAAUGAUUAAUAUUCAAAUUGCUCAUUAUCUCUUCCCUUAAUUUUGAAAUAACUUAGUGUAAAAAAGAGAAUUAAUUAUUACACCGACAAAAUUAUCAAUAUUGUUGAAAACUAAAUAUUUACUGAAGAAAAAAAAAUGGAUUGCUGGAUCUUUUCUAUUUAAUUAAAUGUGAAUAUAUAGUUUUAGGCUUAUGGUCAUUAUAAAAUUUAAAUUAUCUAAAAAAAUAUUUAUAAAAAAAAAGAAUAUUUACCAAGUUUUUGAUAUGGGAUAUAUUAUCUGAUGUAUACUAUCAUAUUAUAGCGAAAGUAUGCAAACAAAUUUUGAAAAAUUAGUAAAUAAUUGAAUAUUUAGAAUAAAUUAAAUUUUAAAGUUAAUAUGAAUGGACAUGUAGGAUUGUUGUUAAUUUUCAUAUUUAAAUUAUUCAUAUUUGUAUAAAUUCAUAAUAAAAAAAAAAGACCAUGCUAAGGCACAAGCAAAAUUCUAAUCUCUUACUUAAAUUCCCAAACAAUAUUAAAACCUCUUUUGUUAUUUUUUGUUCUUUUCGUUACUUUAAUAACUUAAAGUUUCCCAUCCCUUCUUUUAUUUUCUAAAGUCCCAAACUAGCCACGGGUAGGGGCGGGGUUGGGGCGGGGGACCCCUCCCCCAUCCCCCGCCCCGCCCCGCCCCGCUUCCCCCGCGGGGUUAAUAAAAUUUUUCCCGCUACGUUAAUAAAAUUUUAUUAUAGUUAAAUUUUAAUAAAUAAUCAAGUACUAAAAUAUCAACACAUCAUCAAGUUAUUAUUCAUUUUAAUUUUACAAUUGAAACUCAUAAAAACAAUCAAACAAAAAUUAUUUGAAUACAAUCCAACAUGAUGAAAUAAAUACAACUAAAAUAGUUAAGUUUUCACUUUUGGUACAAAUACAAUCACUAAUUCAUUAUUGUGUUUGUGCUUUUUUUUUUUAGAAAAAAGUGUUAUUCUAUUAAGUAUAAUUAGAAAUUUAGUAUAAAUGUAUUAGUAAAUUUAGUAUAACUAAUUAAUAAAUUCUAUUAGUAGACAUGUCUAAUUAUUCGUAUAAUUGAUAAUAUUAAUUAUAUUACAUACACUAAUAUACAUUAUAUAAUAUAUCUAAUUAAUAAUAUCAUUAUCAUAAGUUUAUAACUAAUUAAAUUACAUAUUAUAUAUAAUUAUAUAUAUAAUUUUUUUUUGCGGGUGGCGGGGCGGGGGUAUACUCCCCCGCUCCCCGACGCGUUUCUAAACGGGGGGAAAAAAUUCCCCCCCGCCCCCGCCCCAACCCCCGUCCCGAGAGCCCCUCGCGGGGCGGUUGUCCGCGGGCACCCGUCCCCAUUGCCAUCCCUAGCCACGGGAGUUUUUAGUGAGGUAAAAGAAAGGAAAGGAAAAUUGAGCAACAAUUAAAAAAAAAAGAUUUCUGCUCAGAUCCGGACAGAAAUGGAGAGGAACUUGCGAGAAGCCUAUCAAAAUUUUUCGAAUACCCAUCUUGUCCUAAUUAAAUUGUUGAACAAAUUUUUAUGACCUUUUUGUAUGUCCAAAAUGAUUUCACGUCUUUCCAUAAUGCCUAAACAGUAUUACGAACUCUUCUUUUCUCUCAUAAUUUAAGUUUUCUCUUGUUUCCUUUUCCAUCCUAAACUCCAAAGCCUUAAAUGAAUAUCACUUUUGGCUCACCCAGAAAGUUGACUAACAAAACAAGAGGAAGAAAAGAAAAAUUGAAAGGAUUCUAGCAGUAUAUACACCCAAACUAGUUGUCUGGAUUAAAAUUUGCAAAUAUCGGAUGUCCCUUCCGAAUGUGUUUUUCAGAACACUUUUUAUACUGCAAUAUAUACUUUAUAUACGACAGAACGUACUUAAGAAAGAUUCUGAAUUUUUUCUCCCCUCCAAUUUAUGAGUAUCCAAACUGAUUCAGCACCCUGCACUACUACAGAUAAAAAAAAAAAAAAAAAAAUUUAACAAAGAUGAAAGAGGCCUUCUGUUAUAAAUAUUGUACAUAGUUGUUUCUUGGGGUGGUUACUGCUUUCCACAGAAAUACGCACAACUUAAAAAGGUAUGACAAAAUUGCUCACCUUGAAAGAGAUUCUGUGAGAAAUGAUUUGCCCGGAAGGCUGGCAACGCUCCCUGUAAAGACUAGCAUAUUCACCCACCGAAAGCUGCAGCCAAUAUUGCUCUCAUCUCGCAGAAGGUUCUUUUGCCCCGUUUCAUCUUCUGUCCCAGAUAGAAUAUGAACCAUACCCAGCAUUGAACGGAACAACCAAAUAAAUAGUGUGUAAUAAUUCAAAGAAGCAAGCAAGCAAGCUAGUUUGGAUCGGUGAAUCAUCAGUAAUGCUAAUGCAAAGCACUACUGUAUGUGAUGGGUGUAUCUCGACUUGCAACUGCAUGACAUUUUAUGCUCGACUUUAUGCGCCCACUGGAACGCUCAUCAUUCAUUGCUGGAGGUCCUCAGGCGCCCAUUCCCUUUCAAUGAGCAACAAGCUACACUUUAUGCCUAACAAGCGCGCACUCCCGUGUUCAAAAGCCGUAAACGGGGUUAGAUUCGUACUCCUCCAUGCUAAAUAUAUAUUUUGAUACAUUAAUAAGGAAAAUUCGUUUAAGGUGUCUCUAAUAUUUUGUCUGUUAAAAAUUUUUAUGUUUAUUUUCAAAAUGAUAUUUUUACGUCCCAUAUAAAAUCAAAUCGAUAAAAUUUGAUCCAAACUUAAAUUUUCGAUCACUUUGUAUCAUAUGAAUCCAUUACGUAACCCUUACAUGAUUUAUUCUUUUGUAGUUAACAGAGUGACUCAAUUUAUAUACAUUUUUGCCACUAAAAAUGUAGGAUACAACCCAUAUCAUGUUAUCUUUUUCUUUAAAAAGUUGUGGUCUGAUCUAAUUUAUAUUUGUUUUUGCCACUAAAUGAGUAAAAUUUGUACAUAAAAAAUAAUUGCACGUGGGUCGCACGGUAAUUUCAAGCUAUAAAGUCGUCGGUAACUUAAGUUAGAAUAAAAUUUUAUUAAUUUAAAUUUAUGAGGGACGUAAAAUUAACAUUUUAAAAAUAAAAAAAUGAAAAGAAAUUAAUUGACAAGAUAUGAGAAAUGUUUUAAACGGUUUUCCCAAUUAAUAACUCAUGCCAUUGACACUUGUACAAGAUGUCGAUUGUUAGAGGUGUUGAAUCUUUUGGGUGCACAAAUUUAAUCUUCUUAAAACCAACCUACGUUGGUUAACAUGUAUAGUUCACUUGUAUGAAGCAUUGGUGCCUUUUUAGACUAGAGGUUGCUCGGUCUCCUCUAGGUCACUGUUUUGAAAAUUGAAAAUGCCCGGUUGGUUAAAGUAUCUGAUUGAAUUGUAAACCAGUUAAGUUAUUGUGUCAAUCCGAUUCACUAAUAAAAUCAAUCCAAAGCUGGUUAAAAUCGCUCACAACUAAUAUAAUUGGAAUGUCGAACCAAUUUUUACAAAAAAUUUCUUCUUCUUUUUUGGUACAUAUCAAUUUUGUCCAAAUUAUUCAAUAUUAAAAUUUUGAAGUACAAGUUUUUGUAUUUGAGGUCUACAGUAACGCAUUCCAAAAAAUAUCACUAAAAACACGUAUUAAUUCGUACAAUCUCAAGCAUAUAUAAUAAAAAUAUAAAAAAUUUCUUUCUUUUUGCACUUAUUACCCCACCUUCCAUCACGUACCAUCGGCCAUCCCUCCUCCUCUCUCACCCUCUUUCUCUCCCUUCUUCCAUUGCCACUACCACUCCCGCCAGAUUAAGGGUAGAAGGGAGGGAGGGGGGUUGCAGGGUAGAAGAGGUAGGACGGAGGAGGUGAGGGAAAGAGGAGAAGGGAGGAGUGACGAUGCUACAGAGGAGGGUCAAAAACUUUUAUUAAAAAAUAUUCUAAUAUAAUUUUAAAUUUUAAAAACAAUCUAAAAUAUAUUCACAGUAAUGAGUUUUUGACAUACUCUACUACAUCAUAGAUAACGUAGCUCUAUUUUCAAGGUACGCAUUUGUUUGAUCGCGCAAAAAAAAAAAAGGGUGUCUAGCAACUAGCAAGCGUCGACCGAAUUGUCAUGUACCGAUGAUACUCACGAGUUGGAAAUCAGAAUCUUAUCCACAUUGAAAAAUUGGAUGCCGAUCAGCCUGUUUGAUAUGGCUGUUUAAUCAGCUAGCAGUCCAGUUUACUGAGAAACCAAAAGAGGUUUUAUAACACCGUCUGGCCCGGAGCCCUUAUUGUCUAACGGGAAUAAUUGCUCUACUCCUAUCCUAUCCUAUUAGGAAGGAGAGCCGCCCAACUGGGCAUGUAGUGGAAGUGGAGGUGGUUUUCAAUACCAAACAAGCACACUUUAAAAUUUGCUUUAAUUUACAUACACUCUCUUGCGGUUUGUUUGGCCAAAUUAACGAGUUAUACCUCAAAGUCUGGCGAAAUUUCAUUUAUCUCCCUUUGUCAAUGACACCAUUUUUGGUUCUUCUAUUUCUUGAAAGAGGUUUCUUGAUCCUAACUCGAUCUCUCCACUUUUUUCCAAUUCUAGCAUCUGCAGGCUUGAUGAUGCGUCCUCUGUGUUUGAGUUUGAUUGUCGUGACAUAAGCAAUCAGAAAUCCUAUCUACUCAAGUCGGGAGCUGAGUAACAAUACCUUAUUUUUGUUGAAAAAAAGUUUCCAAAAAACAAAAGGAAAAAAAAAAAAAGUCAAACUUUAAUGUUCAUCUACCCUGAAUCGUUAAUGUUUCUUCUGUAAUAAGGUUCGUUCCAUAAAUAAUUCUUCAUUCAAUUAGAACAGUUCAAAUAGAAGAAAGGGACUUCAGUUUAUGAGGAAAGCCAAUAGAACUUAAGUUCUUUGCAUAGAUUGCUUACAAAUGAGUAAGCCAUUAUUGAGCCAGCAGUAAAAGAGAAAGGUUUCUUUUUUUUUUUCUUUUUUUUUUUUUUAAAAAGUGUUGGUAUGGUACAAAGAAAUAACAGAGCCAUUAUUGGCAUACACAGUAUGUUGGGCAAUAUUCGGUGAAAAUCUUUUGGUGCUUGGGAAAAGAAUUUAAUCGACUGUAUAGGACAACGCUCAAAACCAAUGAAAAGUAUUUGAUCUGGGCUUAAAUUCAAAUAUAGAUACACGGUUUUAUCUGGCCUUUUUUGAGUUUAAUUUUGUUUUGCUAAGGAGCAAUACGUUUUAAUUGGGUGAACCUGCCAUGCCCGCUUGCAGGAGUCAUGCUGCCGGAAAUUAAGGUCGGGAUAAGAUAUUGUUGGCCAAUUUUUUAGGACUUCGGUUGGUUUACAAAUUAAGAGUCUGUUUGAAGUUUUGAGUUUUGGGGGAUCUUUCCGUCAUUUAGCCAAAAAUUAUAGUCACAGCCGCCCGUCUCUCGCUGCAACUUUCGUAUCUGGUCUUCGGUUUUUUUUUUUUUUUUUUUUCUUGCGGAUUUUUCUGGACUUUGCAGAGACUGAAUAAGAGCGAUGGCGAUGAAUCUUGGGUUAGAUCGAAUGGCAUUUUGUUCGUUUAUAUUCCGAUUUUGUUUAUAAUUUAAUUUAUUUCUAAUGCAACAAUCACAUAUGUGUGUGUAUAUAUAUAUAUCUUUUAGCUAGCCUAAUUUUUUUUUGUUUCAGGCGGAAUUUAGGUAAAUAUUUUACCACCGUUGGCCCUUUCUCAGCGGGUUUUGGGGGGUCUUCAACCGCGAGGAGCGGUGGAAGUGCAGGAGCUAUGGCUUUACUGCCUGCCCGCCGCCAGUUCUCAUCCUGGUAGUUCUUUUCCAAAUUGAUUCAGAUACCAUAACUUUAUUUCUUCCUCUCCGUACUGCAUGUUAUAUUCACUUUUGAAAGUUUUAGCAAAUAAUGGUUGUGUUAGAAGCCCUCUUUUUAUACCCAAAGAAAAAAGGAAUUUAGGGCUAACUAUCCGCUUUAUUGGUGUUUAGUAUCUCUUACUGAGCAAAAACACGUAUAGAACUUUUCUGGAACAUGAGAUCCUUUGUCUUCUUCUCCUUAAUUUGGAAAAUUUUUAUUGGUCAUUUGAAAGAGUUAUGUGAUCAUCAAAUACGGUGGCUCCAUGUAUAUACUUCUAUGGCCGGUAAUUUACUUCUGACAGAGUUCAUAAGUAUCAACACAUAAGCUAGUGUUUGGAGAGCUUGGAUUGCUGAACAAGUGUCUGUUUUAAGAUAGAUUGAAUCUCUAUUCUCUUCUAUCAACUGUUAAAAGAUGACUAAAUCCAGUAGUACGUUUCAUCCUGCAAUUGGCUUUUCGUUCUAGUAUCAGGCCAUACAGUAGUAGCUUGGUCCGCAAAGAGUUUGUUUGGGCAUUCAAGGGCAAAGCUUACUUUUCCAAAGUGAAACCUAUUAUUUUAGUUGAACAGAUUGUAGAAGUUUGAGAACUGAUUUGAGAACAAGAGAACCGAAAUACAUGAUUUCUCGCGAUUUCUUCUCCUAAUUCCUGAGGAUUUAUGUUCUUACGCAGGUCUGCUAGAAAUCUUAAAAGAGAACUUCGCGAGCUUAUGGCUGAAUUCAAGGAAUUAUCCUUCAGUAAGCUCUUUUUGUCAAAUUCUCUUCUUCUUUUUUUCAAAUGUGAAUUUUUUCUGCAAAAACGAUUUUUUUUUGGGUUUUCAAAUGUGAUUUUGUUUUGUCUUUUCAAAAAAUUCCAUUUUCUUUUUUCCUGCCAGGUGAGUGUUUACAUCUGACUAUAGCGUCAAGUGUUACUGCUUAUCUGCUUCAGAGGUGCAAUCAAGAGCUCAUCUCGUCUAUACAUUGUUGGUCAUUUUAUUGAAUCCUGAUUUCAUUAUUCUUGUUUAACUUUCUUUCCUAAUUGCAGUACUGUGCGUGGUAUCGCGAAGCUUACGAAGUCAGUUUGGUCGAGGUUCUCUCUUUCUCCUUCUUUGUUUGAGAAUAAUAACGUUAUUUGGAAAAUUUCUUCCUAGUCUCCGUAUUCACAUUGAACAUGUCUUUGGAUGGAGAAGAUAUUUCACAUAUGGUCCUUCACCCUAUUUAUUUCUAGUAAUCACUGUAAAUGGGUUUUGUUGAUUUUGUCCGUUAAUCACACUUAAUUCGCUUACAUGUUGAAGCAAAUUCCUUUUGAGUUAGGUUAGUAUUAAAUUAUUUGCUUUCUUUGUUUCAUGUUUUGGCAUGGAGUGAUAUAAUCUGGAAUUGUCCAAGUAGUCUUAGUUGUCUACUUUUUCCACUGGCAGAAGCCUUAUAGUCCCGAUACUCCAAAAAUGAGAAGUGAUUGGAAUAGAGAAGAAUUUGAGGGAAAAAAAAAACCUCCACGAACGGUGUAUUGUUUCUGGCAAAGGAACCGAACUAAACGAAUUCAAUAAGGUGGUGAAAAUUUGCUGAUAUAGUUCCCAAUCUUAUGUUGCAUCGUUUCUGUGUGGAUGUCAAAUCAUAUCGAAUGGGUUUGGAUUGAUUUGAAUUUAAGCAUAUUCAGAAAAGCCAUAUGAAGGGCAAUAGAUACUUGUCUUGUGCCAAACUUUUCGUUUAGAUUUUGGAAUUUUCUUAUUGCUCUUAUGUAACUCGUUAAUUACCUUCAACUCUUGCUAAGAUCUUUUAACUUAAAAUACUGCUCAACAUUUGUUCAAUCUUCGUGUGCUUUUCUUGACUUGACAGGACUGGCAUUGCAAACUUGAAGUUCAGCAGCAAGAGGUUUGUUCUGUUCAUUUGUGUGGUUACAUAUUGCAGCUUCUUAUAGUUUGUGUGAGGUAAAUUGGUCUGACGGCAUUUGACGGGUAAUAGAAUCACCAGAUCCAAGACUAUUUAACUCUUUUUCUGUUCCAAGUUACAUCUGCAUUGCCUGUGAAGUCAAAGUUUAGUUUGCUGUAUUUGGGUGGUAAAAUGAUCAUCUUCUUUCAUACCUUUGACUUGUGUUUCUGCAGUCUGCUGCUGUAGUUUAAUACCUAUAUGCUUGAUAAGCGCAUAUGUUGUUGAAACCAAAUCUGUUUUUCCUACCUCAGGGAUGGCGGUGGCACUGAUGGAGGCAGUAGCAGGGAUGAUGGUGUUUGAACUCAUUAACAUAAUCUGCUUUUUUUUUUUUUCCUUUUUGGGGACAAAAUGUCUACCUUCUGUGGGAAAUGCAGGAUGAUGUGACGAUGUCUGUUCUUAAAUUUGGUGCUAAAAUACCUGUGGAGUAACUGCAACAGGAUGAUUUGUAGAGAGGACAUUGACCGGCAACUUGUAUUUAGUGGGCUGAAGUUAAAAAUUGACCUUGAAGCCUUUUAUGUUUUACAUAUACAGCUCUGUUUGUGGAGUUUAAGCUUUGCUUCAAUCAGGUACGGGCCAGUUUACCUAAUUGAAACGAAGCAUAAACUCUAUUUUUUUUUUUGUUGGCAAAGCUCAUGCUGAGUCGGCUCAUUUAAAACUUUGAAGUUUUUGGUUUAAAAGGCUUCAAAUCCUUUUUUCUUUCUUCAUUUAUAUACCCUAAAGGGUUAAUUACAUUUAUCUUCCUUAUAGUUUAGCCAAACUACAAAUCAAACCUUGAGAUUUGGACAAAUAACUCUAACCCCCCUAUCAGUGACACCUUCCAAACUCUAUAGACGGAAAGAACGAAAUGUCAAAACUGACAUCCCUUGGAAAAUGUUAAACCCAAUCCAUCCAUAUUCAUACUUCACAGUCACCAUCGUAUGCCCUCUCCUUUCAUUCUUUUUCAUGUCUCUUCUUAUCCCUCGUACAGUUUCAUCUUCCUAUAACCCAUUUGGCUAACUUCUGCAGUGGAUGCACUAUGACUUCUUUCCUCUUUUCUCCACCCUCCAUCGCUGCCUUCUCUUCUCCGCGAGUCACACUAUCUCAUGAGACAAGAAGAAAACAUAUCCAUACCUAAUUUCCAAAUCCAUGGACAGAAGGGCAUGUAUUGGCACUUUGGUUUGAGAUCCAAGGUUUUGACAUCCCAUGACUUGGUUAAUCACUUCGAUCCUCACAAUUUAGUUUUAGCAAUGCAAAUAUCAAGAUCUAGUCUGUUGUAUGGGUUAAUAAAUUUAUUGUUGUUAUUUAUUUUCUGUUUGGGGAUUUUUGUUGGAUUUUAGUGUUGAAAGUAUUUGAUUGGGAAUUUGCUGAUAGUUGUAAAGCAAUAUUUUGAGAAUCCCCGUGAUUGUGUUUCUAAGGCUUUGUUUGGAUUGCAUUUUUCUGAAUUUUUUAUAGAAAAAUUAUUGUAGCGAUUUGAUAUAUGGUAAAAAGGGGAUUGAAAAUUGUGUCCAUAGAAAAUAUAACAAUUUUUCCAACACACCAUAAAACUUUGUCUACCUAACAAAUAUUUCAAAAUUUUAAUUAGGGUUGAAUAUGAAAAGGAAGAAUAUGGAUAGGAAUGGCAAUUGGGGGCGAAUGCCCACGUGGGCUAAUGGGGCGAAACGGAAGAGAAUUUUUUCCUCCCAUUUAAAAAUGGGGUGGGGGGCAGGAGAGUAUACCCCCGCCCCUAAGGAUGGCAACGCGGCCACCCGUCCCGUGGGGAACUAAUGGGGCGGGGGGGAUUUUUUUUCUCCCGCCACCCGUUUUAAAAAAUAAAUAUAUAAAAUAUAUAUGUAUAUAUAUAUAUAAUAUAUAAUUAAAUUAGUUACAAACUUAUAAUAAUGAUAUUAUUAGUUAUAUGUAUUAUAUAAUGUAUAUUAAUAUAUGUAAUAUAAUUGAUAUUAUCAAUUAUACUAAUAAUUAUAUAUGUGUACUAAUACCAAUCAUUAAUUAGUUAUACUAAAUUUACUAAUAUAUUUAUACUAAAUCCCUAAUUACACUUAAUAUAAUAACAUUUUUUUCUCAAAAAAAUAGCACAAGUACAAUAAUGAAUUAAUGAUUGUAUUUGUGUCAAAAAUAAAAACUUGAAUACUUUAAUUGUAUUUAUUUCGUCAUGUUGGAUUGUAUUCAAAUAACUUUUGUUUGAUUGUUUUUAAAAGUUUCAAUUGUAAAAUUGUAAUGAAUAAUAAUUUGAUGAUGUGUUGAUAUUUUAAUACUUGAUUAUUUGCUAAAAUUUAACUAUAAUAAAAUUAUAUAACAUUUUUUUUAUUAGUCCCACGGGGGCACCCGCGAGGGAAGUGGGGCGGGGCGGGACAGGGAGGGGGCGGGGGGAGCAGGGGACGGGGAACGGGGCGGGGGACCCCGCCCCGUUGCCAUCCUUACCCGCCCUGCCACCCGUUAAGAAAAAUUAAUAAAUAUAUAUAAUAUUUAAUUUAAUUAGUUACAAACUUGUGAUAAUGAUAUUAUUAGUUAUAUGUAUUAUAUAAUGUAAUUAGUAUAUGUAAUAUAAUUGAUAUUAUCAAUUAUACUAAUAAUUAUACAUAUCUACUAAUUGAAAUUAUUAAUUAGUUAUACUAAAUUUACUAAUACAUUUAUACUAAAUUUCUAAUUAUACUUAACACAAUAACAUUUUUUUCUCAAAAAAAUCACAAUAAUGACUUAAUGAUUGUAUUUGUGUCAAAAGUGAACAAUUUAACUACUUUAGUUGUAUUUGUUUCAUCAUGUUGGAUUGAAUUCAAAUAAUUUUUAUUUAAUUAUUUUUAUGAGUUUUAAUUGUGAAAUUAUAAUGAAUAAUAACUUGAUAAUGUGUUAAUAUAUUAGUACUUGAUUAUUUGCUAAAAUUUAACUAUAAUGAAAUUAUAUAACAGAUUUUUAUUAAUUCCGUACGAGAAGUAGAGUGGAAUAGAGGAGCAAGAGGCGAGAGGCGAGAGGCGGGGCGGGGAUGGGGGAAUAAGUGGACAGCAGGCGGGGCGGUCCCCAUCCCAACCCCGCCCCAUUGCCAUUCCCAAAUUUGGAUUGGGUUGUGCAUGGCAGCCACAAUAAAGCUGCUGGCGCUGCUGCAUAACCGUGGGUCGUUUUGAAGAAGGUUCCAAGGUGAGUUGAUGAAUAUUUUGGGAAUUUAAAUGCUUAUUUUCGUUGACAUGGGUCAAGGAAACAAGCAGUCAACGUAUCUUGACUCACGGAAUGGGAUCUUUUGUUAUGAUAUUUCGAGUUUCAAGGGUUGUCCCGUUAUUUGGCCAAAUGUCAAGGUCUAAUUCGUAAUAUGGCUAAACCUUAAGGGAGGUAAAUAUAAUUAACCAACUCUAAAACUAUUCGAACCCUCGUCUCUCCUUUUUCUCACGGACCAUGCAAUCAAUUUGUAUCCAAAUCAACAUAUUGUAAAAACCAUUUGGAUGAGAAAUUAUAUGAAAUAUUAUUUGAAAUAAUUAUUGCGAAAUUUUUUAUGAUUCGAUUUAUGUGAGAUAAAAAACUUUUGAAAAUUAUAAUGGAGUUGGACAUCCUAGUUUUUUGAACUUUUUUUAUUAUACAAGUUUUCCAACAACUUAAACACCAUGAAAGUUUUCAAAAUACACAUUUCAAAACACCCAAAAAAUAUACACUUAUUUUUCCUCUUUUACCACCACCAUCUCAACCCACCAUCAUCACCGCCGCUGCCACCCCCUCAUCCUCCCCUCCUUUUUUUUCCCUUUCUCCCCCUCCCUCUCAUUUGCCCUCUCUCCUCCUCCUCUUCUUUUAUCGUCGCCACUUAGUUAUGAAUAUUUCAUCAUUCAAUUUGUACAAAACAUUUUUAACGGUGCAAAAUGGAUGAAAACAUUUUUGAUGAUACAAAAUGAAUCAAGACAUUUUUUGUGCAAAAUGGAUCAGAAUACAUUUGAACAUAUUUCUGUCCCCAAACAAAAGCCUUCAUUAUGAGCUCAUUUUAGAAAGGAUCCACUGGAUGCCUUUCUUAUCUAUCCCUAGAAGGGGAAAAAAGACAACAAUCAUGGUCAAAUACUACGUGAGAAACAAUUGCAGGACUUAAUUCCUGAUGAUUUCAAGGUUUUGAACAGAUAAACCCAGUACAAUCUAUCAAUGAAAAGGAAACAAUUUAUUUAUUUCAAAUUUCAAAUACUCAAAAGGAUGACAAGGAUUAGGAUCAAAUAGGCCUUUAUUAUCAUAUUUCAAGGUCACCAGAAUGAGAAAUACUCUGGUAAUCAAGGUAGAGAUAGACCUUGAGAAUGUUUUUCUUUUCAUAUUGAUUUUCUUCUAUUUAAAGAUAUGAAGUAUAGUAUUUUACAAUUUAGAGCCUCAACCGAAAAAGAAAAACCUUAAGCAGCACUAUAAAUGACAUUAAGAAUAGACAAAUUACUUAAAAUUUCUGGUUUUGUACUUAAAAGAGUAAACAAAUGCAAUAUUGUGUAUGAAUUUAAUUUUGAUUGGUUGGAAAAUCAACUAAUUUGGAAAUAACUCAAUUUCCAUAUAAAUUAGGCAUUUUUCAAAAACUUUACUAUAACUUUGUUUAUUAAAAACUUUAUAGUAUAUGAUGUAUUUUGAGUGUAUUCAUAAAUUUUAAAUUUUGUUGAGAUAUUUUUAAAAUUUUUUAAAACUUCUCUAUCACAACCAACUUCCACCCGUUUACCAGCUAUAUUGGUCACCGCACCUCUCAUCCAUUCUUUCUUUACUCCUGCUCUGGUUUUCUCUAUUAUCCUUCCUCUUUCUUUCCUCUCACUGGGAGGAUAGGACGAGUGCAUGAGGAAAGAGGGGAGGUUGAGGAAGAGGAGGAGGAUAGAGGGGAAAAGAGGAAGGGAGAUGAGGAUGCUAGGAAUAGGAGGUGGCGACAACCGUGUGUGGUGGGUGAAGGAAGAAAGAAGUGGUAGAGUUUUUUUUUUUUUUUUUUGUAUUUUUGGUCUCCUCCCUCUUGCUUUCCCUCAUUUUUUUCAAAAUUUUUUUGGUAUUUUUUGUCUCUCUCUUGCUUUCUCUCCCCACCUCUCUCCUUCUGGAGAAAAGGAGAGGAUGAAUGCAUAGAGAAGGAAGGGAAGAGAGAGAAAAGGAAGGAAGAAGAGGAAAAAGGAUGAUGAGGAUGAGGGAGAGAAAGGAUGGAAGGGAGAAAAGAGAAAAAGGGAGAGAUGUUGUUUGCAACAAGUAGCAUUGGUUUGUGUGGUUAAAGGCGAAAGAAAGAGAUGAUAACAUUUUUUUAACUUUUGAAAUUUUUUUUUAUAUUUUUGAUAGCAAUGCAUUUGGAUUGUUUUAAACAUGUAUUACUAUAAUAUUUUAUUUGAACAACAAAUCGCCUUCAUUUUCAAUAACAUUUGAAUCAAAAUAUUUUUGUAAAUCAAAAUAUUUUUGCAAUGUGGGUGGAAUGACUACUUCGAUCUUGUUCUUCAAAACUCCAAAGUGCAUGGGUUUAUAUGGUCAAAUCCUAGAAGGAAGUGCUUGUGAAACCACUAUUGAUGAUUCAAUCAAUUACUUCUUCGAAUUUAUUAAAACAUAGCCUAUAUCAUUUUCCCUCAUUGAUUUUAUUCUUUUCUUCUAUUAAAUGCCGAGUUCAGAUUGAAAUUUAUAAAUAAAAAAAAAAAGAAAAAAGAGUCUAGUAAUUAGAACAAUAAGAUACAAGAGCAAAACAAUUAUUUUAGACCGAUCGAAACCAAUACAAUACAAUUAAAUAGAACAAAUAAAUAUAAUUAUAUAGAUAUCUUGCCAAAACAUCCAAAUCAAAAGGUACGGUUUGCCGUCAAAUCAAAAGGUGCACAAUUAUAUCCAGAGGCAGCAAAACUCUUGAAUGCACCGAGCCGUUCCUCCAAUAUUUUUCCAAGUUGAGAAAAGGUUUCUGUGUUUCCUUUUAAUCUGCGGACCUCAUAUUUGCCAGAGACACGGUUUCCUGCUAAAUUGUUCUCAUACAAGGUGGAUUUUUCGUCUCUCUUCAAUGCCAAUGUGAGGACACUAGCACAUUUCAGCUUCACCAUGCAGAUGCAGACUCGCCACACAAUUUUAUCACAUUGUAUUCAGCAAACCAUAGAAGCCUGAUGAAAUCCUUUGCAAGUUAACGAACUUCUUUAAAUAUUCAAAAUCCUCACAGUAGAAACUACAUAAUCAAAAAGAAAAACUUGAUAGCAAGCAUAAAGUUCGCUGCCUAUUUAACCACAAAAUAUGGAGUCAAAAUUUCAAAUGAUUGAUCAAAACGAAUUGGGCCUCGUGGAUCACAAAGAUCUACAACAAAUCAUCUGCCACUACUUUUAAGGCUCUGUCAAUGGGUACUCGAACACAACAUCUUUGCCUGAAAGCUUUCUGUAAACAGCAGCAAAAGUCUCCAGCUUAUAUUCAGUAUUGUUUCUUUCCUUGGGGUCCAAGAAGACCUGUGCACAAAACAGUGAAUCAUAAUGGACUCAAAAGUUUAGCUGUUAAAUAAGUAUCUCAUGCAUCAAGACAACAACCAACAUUCAUGUUUCUCCCCACAAGUAGGAAACAGCAAAGCAUAAACAGGCCUGAAAUUGAUGGUCAAAGACUUCAAAUUAUAAUUUGACGUCAGAUUUCGAGCAAUCAACUAGUAAAAAUGAUGCGUCUAUUCUCAAACCAAAGAUAAUAGUAAGACAAAAAUGGCUUCUAUUGGCUGGCACCUAUUUGGAACCCCAGCCUACCUUCCUCAAGUAAUGUGAUCACUGAACUAUCAAGUAAACAAGACAACCUCAAUGAUAACUAAAAGCACACCUUCAUUAUCUUGGAUCCAUCAAUGCGAUAUCUAACGCGCUUCGCAACAAUCUCAGCAGGGACAACAACAUCCUCUAACAUGGCAUCAUGUACUGCAGUUAAAGUCCGGCUGCGGGGUCGUUGAACAGCAGAUCCUUUCUUUGGGGGCCUCAGUAUCCUUCGGGUGGCAAUCAGAACCACAUCCUAAAAGUCAUAGUUUGCAAUCAAAACUACAUCCUACAACAACCUAAAAUUAUCAAAGAUGACAAACCUAACACAAGAAUAGUGUAAUAGAUGAUCCAAGAACAGCAUUAUUAAGUUCCUAAAGUGACAAAAAAAAAGUAGCAGCUUUCAUACAACUAUUAACAGUAGACAAUGGCACAAAAUCUCAAAAUCUUGUUACCAUAUAAAUCAAGAAAGAAAAUUCAAGACAAACAUAGGCAGUUUUGAUAACCUCCAAAUAAAUGUAUAAUAGGACAUGAACAUUAUUCAGGAGGCCAAGUCCUCCACUAAAUUUCAAUGGAGUGUAUGCAAAAAGAUGAAGUGCAAGCUGAGACGUUGGUUCAAGAGCUCAGAAUGAUGUUCAAUCAGUUCAAUUCCCAGACCAAGAGAGGUCUCAUAGAGCUGGGAUUAUUCUUAAUCAUCAUUGCCACAAUCCAGUGAAUGGAUUCCCCAUACAUGUGCAGUGAGUGCACAAUGCUAUCUUGUUAUGCAGAACAACUUCUUUAAGCAACAUGCAAUGUCACUAGCUAAUUUGAUUUAUGCAGGCGUACUGUUAAAAUUUAAAAUACCAAUAAACAAAGUCAAAAACAAGAUGUUCCAAUUGCUGAUAGAUAUGAGCUCAGAAUGAUGUUCAAUCAGUUCAAUUCCCUGACCAAGAGAGGUCUCAUAGAGCUGGGAUUAUCAUUAAUCAUCAUAGCCACAUUCCAUUGAAUGGAUUCCCUAUGCAUAUGCAGGGUGUGCACAAUGCUAAUUUGUUAUGCAGAACACCUUUAAGCAACAUGCAAUAUCACUGGCUAAUUUGACUUAUUGGGUUUAGGGCUAUGCAAUAUCACUGGUUAAAUUGUUAUGCAGAACACCUUCUUUAAGCAAUAUGCAUAUUGUUAGAAUUUAAAAGAGCAAUUAGCAGAGUCAAAAACCAAAUGCUCCAACUACUGAUAGAUAAGACCCAGGCAAGACAGCCAGCACCAUCUUUGUAAUAAGAAGGCAAGCAAAGCACUUUAACAGAAGGAGAAAAAAGAAAUACAGGAACCUUGCCACUGAAUUUCUUCUCCAACUCCCUGACAAGCCUGAUGUGAAUCUUGCGGAAAGCUUUUCUUAGUCUGUAUGGCACAUGGAUAACAACAGCCUUCCGGUUUCCAGAGACAUCAAUUUGACUGCAGAAAAGAAGACACCAGAAUAUCCAAUCAGACUUGUUAAAAGGCCAAACAAGGUCAAUUGAGUGACUUUAUAAGUUACUCUUACACAGCAGAAUUGAUGUACAGAUCCUUCAAAUCACUUUUGAGCUCUUGGUUAGUAUUUUCCAGAUCAAAUAAGGCCUGCACAUCAAAUAGAAUAUAAUCUAGGUAAGAAUCAAGCAUCCUAGUCAAUCAACUAAAAAAAAGCUGCCAAACAACAAUUUGUGAGGACAAAAAAUAAAGUAACCUGAGCCACAGACUCUUCAAACUCUGUAGGUUCAACAUCCUUAUCCUUGUGAAUUUUUUUCAUUGACGUAUACAUCUUGGCAGGCCUGUUUCAAAAUAUUGAUGUCAUGUUAAAAAGAGGCCUAACGUGGAAUAAGUAGGCAUUCUCUGCAAACUUUGCUGUUUAAAUUUUGCUGAAUCCAGUCAAAAGUACUCAGAGUUACUUCCACCGGAAACAUUCAUGGCAGCAUGAACAAUAUUAAGCAGAUUUUUUGUGUGCAUUUGGCUCUAGUCUAUAAACCACUACUUCAAAAAGUAACAAGUAAUCCGAAACAAAUACUCAUGACUAGGCCUAAAAGAAAAAGGACCUGCUUUUGUAAAGCAUCCCCAUCAAGUUCUAAACAGUAAACAGAAACGGUUUGUCAUUAUUUAUAUAAGCUUAAAAUGUGAGGAAAUACUUUAAGGGGCUAGUAGCUCAAAAAAAAUCAGAAACAGCCUAGUAUGACCAAUAAAAAAUUUGUUAAAACACCAUUAGUGUUAAAAGAAUCAACAGCAUAAACACCGAGUUGCUAAACCAGGAAAAAAAAAUCAAAGAAUUCCAGGCGAAUGCUUAUUACAAACUAAAAUUCAUAUUUAACGAACCAUGAAAAUGGUCAGGAGUUGCACUGUGAAGCCAUUAUCCAAAAAUCCAAUCACUAGAAAUAAGCCAAGUAACCAAAUGCCAGUUUUCACUUCAAAUUAAUACCCAAAUCAAAACAUGAUACCAAAAACCCUAAUCACUGCAUUCACGCCUCAAAAAAAAUCGCAUUUACCGCUCAAAAAUGUUUAAACAAUCGAACUGAUCAGAAGAGAAAAUUCUGUACUAAUUUAUAACAUGCUUCAACAUUUUCUCCAGCAUACAAAAAACCAUUAAAAACUUUUUAUCUUCUGAAAAAAAUAGUUACUACCAAAGAAAUGGAACAAAUCCUAAUUUAUCCAAUUAAGCAAUGCUAAUUCCCAUCCUUUCCCUCCUUCAAAACUUUACCGCCAUAUUUUCUUGGUAACCAACCAGAGACCAACAACAAUAACAAGAAACAUAUCUGAUUCAAAGAUUGAAGAUGAAGAACUAUAGUACCUUUUGGGGAGAGCAGAGAAGAGUGAUGACUGAUGCGCAGUGUGUGUGUGUGUGUGUGUGUGAGUGAGAGGCACAGAACCCCCUAGGGUUUGGUGGGGUUCUAUUGACUUUAUAAGUGGCUGGGUAGCCGGUAGCGGGGUGGGUUGGGAUUGGAUAGGCCUGAUUAAACCCGGAUGGGUUUUUGGGUUCUGUGUGGGGUGAGGGGCCGGAAUUCUGGUUGCAGGCCCAAUUGAGAAGCAUUUGUUAUUUAAUCUUUUGGGUCAUGUUAGGGAGUAGGAGUGGUCAUUUCAGUAGUAACUGACUUUGUUUUACACAAAAGUAAUAAUUUAAAUUAAAAUACUAUUAGUUGUUAUUGGAGCCUUCAAAGUAUAACAAUUUCCAAUACUUAGACCCCCUUUUUUUUUUUUUAAUAAUAUUACAAACUAACGCUCAUAAAGUGGGAGAAAAUAUUGAUUUGAACAAACCAGGACUUUUAUGUCAAUGAUGUGGAAUAUUGAAGAAUUUUUUUUAAUGUUAUUUUAACGUAUUUACUUAAAUCUGCAAAAUCUCUAGCCCUAAGUAUCAAAAUUGAAGCUAAAUAUUUUUGAGCCGAAUAGUUAAUUACGAAAAUCACCUUACUUUGGCUGAAAUAUUGGUACCAUCUGUCACAAUCUUGCGGUAUAUCAUUAAGGUAUAAGAUGAAUUCUCCUACUUUCCAUGGAUAAUGAACAAAGAAUUGCAGAUAGAAUCUCGUACGAAAUGGGCACCAAAAAAAAUGAAUAUGGAGUUGCAGAUUAUAAUGAUGUUAAGAUAGCAUUGUCAUUACGUAUGUAAAUAAAGGAACCCUUCAUAAACUAAUUUUGAUACUCUUAGUAUAGCAGUGUUAGUGUUUGAGAAAGAAAAACAAUUUACUGUAAUUCUUUUUCAGGUAAACUAUGAAUUUUUUAUUUGUAGAGGUAAGCAUUCAAUGUACAUCCCCUGAGCGCUAGGGCUUUGUAAUUGUAUUCAAAAGCUACAAAAAUUGCAAUAUUACGCCAAGGGUGCGUUUCGUAAUACUGAAAUUUGAAAUCUGAAGUCUGAAUCCAUUAAAUUAUUAAGUAUUAAAUCUAAUACAUUUGAGUGUAUAUCAUAUUCAAUGAUAAGUGAAUAACUUAUCACUGAUUUUUAAAAGUAAGUUCUGUUUAGGAAAUUCGGUGCCAUUUAAUUAAUUUAAAUGUUUAAUAUUUGGUUAUUAAACGUGUCCGAACAUGUUAAAAUUUGAAUUCAUUAAGUUUAAGUGAUGAAUUGGAUUAUUAAAUAGAGCCUAAAUCUAAACAUUGGAAUGGAAAUAAUCUAAGUCAAAACUUCGCUCCAACAUUCUAUUUUGGUAGCAGGAGCCAAAUAAUAACGUACUAGCAAGAAGCAAGCGUCUUUCACAUAACUAGAAGUCUAGGACUAUUUAAAUUGAUAAUGUAAUCAACCUAUAUAGUAAAAGCACGAAUGAGUUUUGGCAAAAGAGUGGUCGUCUGCUGAUGUGUCAAGCUCUCAUUGGUUCAAAUGUGGUCGUCCUCCUCAUGCCAAAAUCACGUGCCCAGCUAGAGAAAUAUUGGAGAGUUUUCCUAUUCCCUUAUCUGCUCCUUGGUUGGAACGACAAAUGGGGUGGGCUCGAGAUUCCUAUUCCCAUCAAGUGUCUCCCGUCUCCCAUCAAGUGUUUCUCUCCCAUCGUUGCUUUCUCCUCUCAUACUCAAACCACCGGACCACCACGGCUACUGUACCCCUUGUUGAGGAUCUCCUCCUCUCCGUUAUUCUCUGUUUCUAAGUAAAAAAAUUAUCUACCGAUCUGUUCCAAAACUUUUCUUUUCGGACCACUAUGGCUGUUGUACUCCUCAUCCAUGAACUUCUCCUCUCCGUUAUUCUCCAUUUCUCGGUAAAAAAUUAUCCGGACACUCAGCCUUUUAUUCCUCUCUUUUUUUCCAAGUACUUGCCGAUCUAUUCCAAAAAAAUUCUUUCUUCAUAUGCUUUCUAUCUGGAUGGACUAUGACUGUCAAGAAAAUAACAUUAUCGAGUUUUGUUGGUGCUGGUUUCAAGAAAUCAUCUUUUUUUUUUCAGAUACAUUGCAGAUCUGUUCAAAAUUUUCUUAUUUUUCCAGAACUUUCUAUCGUCACCUUUUUUUUUCUUUCUUUUUAUUAGACCUGAUAUAACUAAAAUCAUUUAUUUCUGUUUUAUCUAUGCUAUUCUCCAUAUUGAUGUUAAUUGUUACAGUGACCAAUUUUUACAGUUUUUGAAUGGCAUGAUUUUUCUUUUCUUGUGGAAUAUUUAGAUUGAUAUUAUGCUUAUUGUUAAAUUUGCUUGUUUUUAAUACGUGUGUUUUUUCUUUUUAGGAAGGUUUUGGUGCUUUCGUUGUGCUAAGUUCUCCUUCACUGAGUAAGUUUGCUAAUUUUUUUAUGUAUGUAUUCUUAUCUUUUUAAUUCCUUGAGCUCUGUUUUAGUUAGAAUGAUGAUUGUAGAACUUGUAAACUGCUUUUGGAAGUACUUUAUACAUGUUUCUGAAUAAAUGUGUCUAUUCAUGAGCAAUUUUCUCUUAAUUUUUUCUUGGUUUUGAAUAUUUCUUCAUGUUUCCUUUUGUUUCUUGUUAGGUUUUUACAAAGAUGGAUGGUGAUUUUUUUUUGGAAAAGGGUGUAGCUUUCUGGCUGGAGUAUUAUGGCAGAUGAAAGUUGUAAAUAGGCUAAUUUAUUUUGUCCUCAAUUAGGCUAUGAUGAUAUGGUUUUGGUUUCAUUAGAUGUAUUUCAGGCUUUAAAUUGAUUGCUGUAUCUUGGCGUGGCAACCCUGAUUGCAUUUGAGGUUCAUUCUUCCCUUCAAAUGUAAUGGGUCUGCUGCCAUGGCGGUACUCUCAUCUCUGCCUGACUAUUGCUGACAAACCUGAGCCUCACUUUAAACUACCAUAAUCACUGCUUAAUUUAAUUAAAAAGAUUUGAUCCCUGAUUCCUUUUUUUCUGUUUGUAUAAUAUUUUUCGAAUCAUGACAAUUUCUGAUAUUCUUAUUGGUUGUUUUCACCUUUGAAGCAAUCUUGACGGAGCUAUAGCAAAAAUUCUCAGGUGUGCUACUUUGAUUUAUAGUUAUAACUCAUUCAUCAUAUGAUGUUUUACUUAUGACAAAGCUUUAGCUUUUUUCCUUUUUGCUUUAUAUUAUCUUGGUCAUGCUACAGAAAUUGCUUGAUGCUUUGGUACAAUUCACAUAGUGACCUUGAUGAGCUUUUUUCAGUGUGCUUUAAUUUUUUGAGAAAUUUUGUGGUCAAAUGUAGAAACAAUAUAAAGUUUAGAAUGAAAUGUCUAACUAAAUAUCUACGUAUUUGGGAGGUCUUGCAAGCCUCUAUGUCUUAAUAGAGAAGUAAUUAUGAUAUUUGAUGGUUUUUUUUUUAUAAAAAAAAAAUAGUAAUACUUUUUUUCUUCAAUAUAAAAAAGCGUGGUUAGUCGGGAAAAUCUUUGAAAAAUUUUGUGGUCAAAUGUAGAAACUAAAUGAAGUUUAGAAUGAAAUGUCUAACUAAAUAUCUAAGUAUUUGGGAGAUCUUGCAAGCCUCUAUGUCUUAAUAGAGAAGUAAUUAUGAUAUUGAUGGUUUUUUUUUAUCAGAAAAAAUAGUAAUACUUUUUUUCUUCAGUAUAAAAAAGUCUGGUUAGUCGGGAAAAUCUAUUGGGCACCUUUUUUUUUCCUGCUUCACAACUCAAAAGCAUGAAAGAAAACAUCUUGCAUUGCUCACUUGGUGUUAUUUGGAUAGAAAUUCAUUCUCCCCCUUUUUUCUCUCUCUUUAUGGUAGUUAGAAGAUAUAAUGUUCAUAAUGAUGGCUUUUGGUAAUGUUAAAUUACAUGUUUUGUAGGUGUUUAGUCGUCACGAGAAAUUAACUGAGCCUUAUUUUAAGUCUCUAUAUCUGGUUUCUUUUUUUUUUUUUGUCCCUUGGUUUCUGAAGCAUUAGAAAAAUGAAGCAUUUUUCUGUUUUUUUUCUUUUGUAAUCCUUGUUUUUUGGAGAAAUGGGGAUGGGCGUUGCUGGAGUUAUGUCACUUUCAAAGGACUGCAUUUGAUAAUUUAUUUUUGAAGAUAGAGCUUUGUAAAUCUCGAGUAGUUAAUAGUGCAGAACAGUUGGCACUGCUGUCAAAGAGAUUUGAACAUCUACAAAUGGAAAAAGUAAAAUUGACCUUGGAUCUAUUUGACUUUUGUGCAUAUGCGAUUACAAUAAGCAUUUAAACACUAUAAUACAAGAGAUUUCAAAACAAAAUUCAGGGUCACAUUAUGUGCUACACCAUAUACUCGUGAGGCAUCUUGAGAAAUGAUCAGUGCUAUAGAUUGUGCAACUAUAGCAUCUCAUCCUGCUUAUAGCAUUAAUGUUAGAUUGGCUACAUAAAAAAUUUCUUAUGCUUUUUAUGGCUUUCUGCAGUGUGGAAUAGGGAUCAAUCCUAUUUGUGUUGCAAGUGCUUUACUAGCACAUUUUUACUUCUAUACUAAUUUAUUAAGAUGUAGCCAAAAAAAGAAGUUCUUUUGUUGGUUAUCCUCCUUUCUGGUAAACAGAAUGUCAUUAAUACCAUUGCGUUACUGUCUUUGUGUUGACACCAUGUCUAUUUUUUCUUGAGCAAGCGUACUUGUAACCUUAAGUCUGGUGAAGGUGUUCAAAUGAAGUCUGUGCAACACAAGGAUCAAGAAUCUGCUAUAGAAGGUCUUGUCUUUAAAUUUUGGUGUAGAUUCAGGCUCUGGGAUGUUCUGAUCACCCUCCAUAAGGUUCCUGAACAACUUUAAAUUAGAAUGAACAGUUCUCCCCGUUCCUUUUAUCAUAACCGGUUUAAAUUGAUUUGGAUUAGUUACAAACCUCCUCUGAUCACCCUCCAAAGGUUCCUGAACAACUUUAAAUUGUGUACCUCCGACUAGGAAAUGGAUCACAUCACUAUAGUUUUCCCUUUUUCUUUUUGGUUAGUUGUCAAAAUCUCUUAUACCUCUGCAUCCAUACAGGAAAUGGUUUUUCUUUCGUUCUUUUAAUCUUAUUUUUACUCGACUAAUUUGUUUGGUUUAAUUCUUUUUUAACUUGAUUGAGCUGAAUAACUGUGAACCUUAAAGAGUCGGUGAUGGCAACUCUCUAGAAGCAUUGAGGUUAAUGAACUUUACUUGAGAUGGGUUCAAAGUGAACAGCAUAAGGUAACAUGCUCGAAUUAAAAGUUAUCAACAGUUUAUUUUGUUGCAUGCCUAAUUAACAAAUUAUGGACUUGAUUAUUUACAUCUGGGAUAGAUAAUAUUGUCAAAACCCACAGUGAAAGCACACUUUUUUUUUGUCUUCACAUUUUUUGCUAAAUAGUUGAAAGUGAUAGACUCUUUGUUAGGUAGUUCACCUUCAUCCAGAUUUUCUGAUUUGAGUAUCUAAUUGUUUUGCUAUGAUUUAACACGUAUUUAAUCUUCUUUUUCCUUCCCCAAAAAAACCUCAUUGGAAAGUACAGAGGUGAAACCCGAUACAACUUAUGGUGCAUCAAUUAAAUCUUAUAUUAUAGGUUUAACAGUGACUUUUGGUCCACCAAAGACUGUCAGUUUAAUUAAGAUAUUUGGAGUAAUAGCUGAGUUCCUUGCCAUGUGAAUAACGAAAUUUCAAUGACUUGUUUGAUGGUUCGAGUGUUAAAUCUAGGUGUUUCUCCUCAAAUUCAAUGAUGAUAUCCACAUGCUUCUUAGCUUUUAGCUUCCACUACUUGAAAUUUUUUGUACUUUUUUCUUUUUUAAUUUAGUUAUGUGAAUAAUGUAUUUUUUUGGUUUUUCAUGUGAAAAUAUCGAGUUUUUAUGAGAACCAUCUCCAAGUUGUGGAAUUGCGUAGCUUUAUGAUCAAGUUGUGUAAAUUGAUUUUAAUAUCUUCCAUUGGCAUUUUGUGUAAAUUGCAUAGUUGCAUGAUCAAAUUGUGGAAAAGUUUACUUGCAUACCAUCUCCAAAGAUCUAGCGCAUUAAUACUUUAACUUUGGUGAGAACACAAGUUACCAAUCAAGAUACUUUAGGUUACCUGUAAGAAUCUUUUCAUCUCUCAACUUUGGCAGCUACUGUAUCGAAAAAAAAAAGAAAAAAGAAAAGUUCUUUGUUUGUGUAAUGUGUUGAAAAAUACAAGGGUUAACAAAUUUUGCAUUAGACUGUUAGUAACCAAAAGUUCAGAUGUUAGUUGUCAUGUCCUUGUUGGCAUCAUUCAAGGCCCUUGAUUUGUUUUUAACUUCUUGUUACAAUAGUAAACUAAUUUCGGUGGAUUAUAUCUUACUUUCUUUUUUGUUAUAAUACUUGGCAGGUUUUUCACCAGUUUCUUUCGAAAGCUGCUCAUUACAGUUCUUGGAUGAGUGCGAAUGGCAGAAAGUUUUUAUUUUUGGUUGAGUUAAAAUAUCGAUUUAUUGGAAUCAUGGAAGUUCAAGCUCAUGUUUCGAGAUUCUAUAAGACUAAUUUUUCUAUUUAUUAUGAAUUCCUUGACUAUGAACAAAUGUCAAAAUUUAUACUGCUAGACAAAUUGUAAAUGCAACUUUUUAUGGUUUAAAAUCUUUUACAAUUGCAACAAUAUUUUUUCCCUUUUGUUUGUUAGUUUAUAAUAUUUCUUCAUUUUUUUUGAAACAUAUGAUUGAUAUUACUCGAUAUCUCACACGUACUUUGCAUGGAAAGAUGCAUAUGUUCUAUAUUAGACCUUCUAGAUUUGGAUCCGUCUGAUAUGCAGUCUAUGAGAUAAUAACUUCAUACUCUAUGGAUGAGACUUUUUGAUAUUGACCCACUCGAAGUUAUGAACUCGUAUCCCUCCAAUCCUUCGAUCUAAACGAAGAAUCAAGAUGAUUUGCAGAACUCUUGACCCCUCUAAAUCACGAAGUUAUGAACUAACAAUAUUUCUUAACCCACAAUUUAAUAAUUUAGCAAACCAAAACUGUUUGUAGAGGAACGCCACAACUAUGAUGUGUACUUGAUUGAUAAGUUCGAUUUGAAUCUUUUCAAAAAAACUCUUUAAGAAUUCAAGAAAGGCUCUUUUGGACAAGAAAAAGAUGAUAAAACACAUUUAUUGUUGGAAAAAUCUGAUUAUUAACGAUGGAAAAAUUAGGUUAUUUAUAGCCUUAUAUGACUUCAAAACCAAUGUGAUUUGUGAUCACUUGUUUGGCCAAGAAACCAACUAAAAUUCAGCCCUCUUUGAAGACUAAUUUGGCCGAAUAUUACUAAAUAAUUAAACCAUUAAAAUAGCAAUUAGAUUGACAAUUAAAAUCUUAACUAAUGCUACUAAUCAAAUGACAUUAACUAACUAACAAAUCAACUAUCUAAGUAGUUUGCUUCUAACUCUUCAUGUGGGACCAGCAAAGUGACACAUGGAAGCUCUUCAAGUUGCAAGCCUUCAAUAGUUCUUGUGUCAUCACCAACUCGAUUUUGAAUUGCACAAACAAGUGCUUGUAGUGAAUCUCUAAGUUUUCUUGCACGAGCUCUUGUAAUCGAACCACUUGGAACUUGUACAAUUUGAUUCAUCACUCUUAUUAUCAACAACGUGAACUUAAACAUUCUCAACAUUCACAACUGAGAUUAUAAUUAUUCUACUUUGCUAUUAGAUGAUGGUUAGACUUUGAUUUGUUUUGUCCUAUAUGUAUGAUGAACAAUUCACUAUGUAUUUCUACAAUCUAAUGCAUAUUGUUGUUUUUCAAUGACGUGUCUUUCCAUUUCUCGAUCGUUAGUUAUGUUUCAGGCAUUAUACAAACAGGGCAUAACUGGGCAUGUAAAUUUUAAAAUUGUUCACCGCGCAUAUGCGCGGUGAUCCCCUCCUAGUUCAUAACAAAAGUAUAACCAAUACAUUGUGGGAAAUUAGUAAAAAAGCAGAAGGAAUUUGCUGCUUUCCAGCAUUUUAAAAAGCACAAUGUUGAGAUACUUUUCUGACAGUAGCUUAUUUUAGUAAUAGAAUUACUCCCCCCCUCCCCUUCUCUGGUUGGUUAUGACCUUUAAUACAAAAAUCUUGGUCAAUAAUAGCUAGGAGAAGACCCUUAAAUUUUGCUUUUCAGUUUAGGGGUAAGGGAAGAGAUAAUCAACGUUGAUAAACUCAACACCCAAGUAUAUACAAUCAAAAUUGAAACUUAAAAGUUUCCCUAAUUAACCUCAUACUAAAACCACUUGUUCGGUUUCCUAUUCGUACUUAUGUAGUACUACUUAGCACUUCUUCUAAUCUCUUUUCAACUUUCCAAUUUCUCUACCAAUUAGACAUUGAGAAGGUCAGGCAGAACCGAUAUGUUAGUAUUAUGGUAGAAAAACUUUAAUACGUUUGUUGUUCUUUCUUCAUAAUUUGUAUGGUCAGUGCUCGAUUCCUGUUCUCUUAUUGCUACUUUUAUCGUCAUGCUAUAAUGAAGAAUUCCUUGAUCGCCAUGGAUUGACUUCUUUUAUUAACUCCUAGCAGUAGUUCCAGUCGGAAUUCGAUUUGAUUUGAUUGAGGUGGGGGUCGCUUUUGUAAACUUUUCACCAAUAAUGUCGAUUUCCAGGCUCACCAGAGUGGCCUUCCAUGCUCUCAGGGCCGUCUCCAAUGUAGUAAUCAUAAGCACAAGCAGACUCAAUAGUAGUUUUCCCGCUCCCUCAGUGAAGAAUGGAUUUGCAUUACUGUCAUCAAGCUUCGAUCAACAGGUUUCUUACACAAAGUCGUUUUCGUUCGCUCCUACUCAUCCGGUACUGCUGUCUCCAGUAGAAUCAAUUAUUCAGAGCAUAGCCCAAUGGCAUGGGAGGGAAUAUUUGGUUCUCUGAGUGUAGCUUGAGCCAACCAAAAGGUGCUGCAGCCUGAGCAUCUGGUGAAAGCCCUUUUGGAUCAAAAGAAUGGGUUAGCUCAGAAAAUAUUUAUCAAGGCUGGAGUUGAUAUUGCAGCAGUUGUGCAAGCUACAAAUAAGUUUAUAGCGGCAAUGAAAUUGAUAGAUGAUCAUGAUCAUAAUAGUGGAAAUUACCGCCAGAUAGGUGUUGGAAUGUAUGCCCUAAAACAAUAUAUUUGUUUUUAUUUUAUACAUUCCUUAUUAUAUGUUUUAUAUUUUAAUAACUUCUUAUUUAUCUUUUGAAUAUUAGAGAUAACUGAUAAAGUCCUUAGAAUGUUUACUAAUGUGAUAGUAGUCACAAGAGUUGAUGACUAUGAGAUAUCAAUCGCAAGAGUAAUAUUCUUAAAAUUUCCUAGUUAUAGUACUAAUGAAAUAGGACAUCUUUAGUACGGUAAAACUAGUACACAGUUAGCAUCUAAUUAAUGUAAUUAGUGGUCGUUCUCAUCAACUAUGGCAUGAUGAUAUCUAGGCUAAUGUGUAGAUGAUUUGGAAAGUACAAAUGCAUUGGAUUGAUCCGUUUAGAGAUCCCAUUAGGAUAUCUAUCUAGUGCCAAUGGUGUAUCUCUAGUGAAAAUUGUGUAAGUGAUCCUACGACUUGAGAUCACCAUAGUAUCUUGAGUGUGAAUCGCUACAUUUUGACUCUAAUUACUUGUUACUCUUCGUGAGUGCCUUAAAGUGUAGAAGUUGGAUGUAGUGUGAAGCAUGUAAAGAGAAUGGGUGAUCGAGAUAGGAUUUACCACUCUGAUAGAAGGAAUUGAUAUCCGGAUGGCCACUAGUGGGAAAUUGUCCCUAAAGUCGACUAUUAGGUAAAUUGAAAAAUGUCUUCAAUUUAACUUAAUUCAGGGUAAAUUUCGGGAAUUAGAAAAUUUAAUUAGUCAUCAGGGAAUUGGCACUUAUUUCUUAUUCCUGACUAAUUGGAUAUCUUUGGUGAAAGGAUAAUAAUUACACGGUAAUUUUUCACGGAAAGGUUAGGUCAAAUUCCCUUGACUAAUUCCGAAUAAUUGGGCAAUCGCGAUGUGUUGCUAGACACCGCUCGUGAUUUAUAAUUAUGGAUUAAUUAUUUAUUAUAAGUUAUGAUAAAAUAAAGUCAUUUAUUUUAUCUAAUUAUUAAACCAUAAUUAUUACCAAUGCAUUCGGGACCUAUUGGGUCACACGCAAUAGAGAUUUAAUUCUGGAUUGAAACUAUGUAAAUUAUCGGGGUUUUAUUUUAAAAGAAAAUUAAUCCCAAACCUAUUUGAGCAGAUAAGAGUAAAUGGUUAUCUUUUAUCUAUCAGAUAAUGAUAGAUAGAGUCUGGUGUGAUGAGAAUUCUUAUUGUUUUGAUUUUGAAUCAGACAAGAAGACUCAUCAUUUUAUCUUAUCAUAUAUCUCUCUCUCUCUCCAAUUUGAUGGAGGGGGAAAAAUUGAGUCUGUGAGCGUCACAUACGAUAGAGAGAAAAAAAUAUACGUUCGAAGAGAGUAAGAAGGCUAGCACAUUUUUCUCUUCAAUACAUAGUUCGUGAGACGAUCUAGGGUUGCUCUAGCGUGGUUAUCAGUAGAGGCAGGACGACUGAACUGCUUAAGGGCUGACCAUCCUCAAACAACGCUGCAGGGAGACGCCGCUUGGAUUAAGGUAAUCCUAAAAUCCUACUCUUAGUACAUCAUACGUAAAAUCUAGGGUGAUUCCUGGAUGGUUUUAGGAAAAAUUUUUUUAUUUUUCCGCUGCUUAGUAUCCCUAAAACCCAACAAUAGGUGGUCCUGAGUUCAAUCUUGGGUCUCUCUUGGCUACUACACGAAGGCACAAGAAAGACAUGGGGGAUUCUUUAGUUUCCGUAGAGUAUCUGCUGUUAGCAUUCACUUCCCAUAAGAGAUUUGGUCAGCACCUAUUUUCGGUUCUCAGGAUCGGCGAGCAAGAUUUGAGGAAUGCUAUUGGUGCCAUGCACCGAGAAACUGAUCAAGCACAAGGUCAGCCGGAUAGUAAAUUUGAAAAACUCGGAAUUAUGGCUAUGAUUUAACUCAACUUGCAAGCCGUGGUAAACUCGACCCAGUCAGUUGUCGUGAUGAUGAAAUAGAAAGAUGUGCUCAGAUCUUAUGCUGAUGAACAAAAAGUAACCCCAUUAUCCUUGGUGAGCCUGGAGUAGGGAAAACAACUAUUGUUGAACGGCUAGCUCAAAGAAUGAUUAUGAAGGAUGCACCCAGGCCUCUGCAGAAGUGUACUUUGUUCUCUUUGGACAUUGGCUCUUUAUUUGCUGGAACUAAGUAUCAUGGAGAUCUCGAGGAAGCAGUUAAAUGUAUGAUGAAUGAAAUCACAGCCUCCAAUGGGAGGAUAAUACUAUUUAUUGAUGAAAUACAUUUGAUAAUGGGUUAUGGUAAUACGUAUGCAUUGAAUGCUGCAAACUUGUUGAAGCCAAUGCUUAGCUGCGGCGAGCUGAGAUGCAUCGGGGCAACAACAUUGAAGGAAUACAGGCUUUACAUUGAGAAGAACCCUGCCUUAGAAUGCAGAUUCCAAAAAGGUAUUGUGUGGUGAACCAUCUGUAGAAGCUACGAUCAACAUUCUUCAUGGAUUGCGUGCACAGUAUGAAGUACAUCAUGCGGUUAAGAUUUCAGACGGGCUCUUGCUUCAGCCGCAACUCUUGCACAUCGGUAUAUUACAAGACGUUUUUUGCUGGACAAAGCCAUUGAUCUACUUGAUGAAGCUGCUGCGAGAUUUGCAAUGAAAAACACUAGUUCAGGGCCGAUUGGCAGCUUAGAUGAGAUAGAUAGGGCUAUUUUGAUGCUAGAGUUGGAGAAAAUCUCCCUCAAAGAUGAAACUGAUCAUCCUGUAUCUAGACACCGGUUGAUCAAGCUGGAGAGUGCUUUGGCAUCUCUUGUGCGAAAUGAUCAGAGUGAUUCAAAUGAAGUGGAGCAUGGCAAAAAUAAAGCUCGCUAGAAAGAAGUGACUAAUGUUCAUAUAGCUGAAGUUGUUAGCAAAUUGACUGGCAUACCAUCAUCAAACCUCGAGCAAUCUCAGAUGGAUCAGCUUAUGUCAUUGGAGCAAGAACUUUGUAAAAGAGUUGUUGGUCAAGACAUGGCUGUCAAAUCUGUAGCUGAUGCUAUCAGGCGCUCAAGGGCUGGCCUAUCUGAUCCAAAUUGUCCAAUUGCAAGCUUCAUGUUUUUAGGUCCUACCGGCAUUGGCAAAACUAAGCUAGCAAAAGCCCUUGCUGCAUACAUUUGUAACAAUGAGAAUGAUGUAGUGCGGAUAGAUAUGAGCGAGUACAUGGAAAAGUAUUCUGUUUCUAGGUUAAUUGGUGCACCACCGGGGUACAUUGGUUAUGAUGAAGGCGGGGUAACUCACUGAAGCGGUUCGUCUGAGGCCUUACUCGAUUGUGCUUUUUGAUGAAAUUGAAAAGGCGCAUUGUGAUGUUUUUAACAUCUUUCUACAGUUGUUGGAUGAUGGAAGAAUCACUGAUUCUUUGGGAAGGACUAUUAGCUUGAAAAAUACCAUAUUGAUUAUGACAUCAAAUAUUGGUUCCCGGCACAUUUUAGAAACACUUGCGCAUGACAAGGGGGAUGAUAAAGAGGCUAUCUAUCAGGCGAUGAAAACUGAAGUCAUGGAGAUGGCUAAACAAACCUUUCAGCCAAAAUUUGUGAAUCGAACAGGCGAGCACAUCAUUUUCCAACCUCUGGAUUCUAAGAAAAUCUCCAAAAUCGUUGAUAUACAGAUAAAUUGUGUCCGAGAGAGGCUGAAAGAAAAGAAAAUUUACCUCCAUUAUACUAGAGAAGGGGUAAAUCUUUUAGUCACCUUGGGUUUUGAUCAAAACUUUGGAGCUCGAUCUGUGAAGCGGGUGAUUCAACAAUUCAGUGAGAAUGAAAUUGCUAUGGGAAUUAUGAGAGGAGAAUUCAUAGAGGGAGACUCUAUCAUUGUCGAUGCUGAUGUAUCCACCAGGCCUCAAGACGUUCCAUCACAUAGUAGAUUGCUUAUCGAGAAAAUGGACAACAAUGUUGCAUUGGGUUGCAUGGUUGGUUGCGGCCGAGUAAAAGAUGUUUUCAUUGAGAAAUGGAAAAGUCUUAAGUAACGAGCGUUAUGAUAACGAAACUGUUUUUACCUGAUAUAACAGGUAAAAACACUUUUAGCGACCAUUUGAUUACCUGUUGUACUGGUCAUCUAAAUAAAAUAGUACCUAAAAAUAUGGUUAGUAAGUUUUACAUUAAAAAGAGUAAGUUAACUCAAGAAAUUAGUAACUUUUAUGUCUCAAAAAGUAAAUUUGAAGAAAUAUGGAACUUACUUUUUUUUUGAAGUAAAUAACUACUCUAUAUCUAAAACUUACUUUUUGAAGAGUAAGUUUAGUUCAAAUAAUAGUAAGUUUUUAUAAACUAAUAGUAAAUAUUGUUGAUAGAAUAGUAAAUUUGGUUAAUCAUCAAAACUUACUAGUUUAUGGCAUAAAUUUACUAUUUUACUUAAAGAAACUUAUAUGGAACAAGUAUUAGGAAGCUUAUUUGAAAUAAUGGUAAGAUUUUUUAUUAAUAAUUGAAACUUAGUAUUAUAGUUAGUAGUUACUCGUAAUGUAAAUGUAUGAUACACAAUUGUACGUAUCAUUUAUAAAUGUUAAAUGUUUUAAGCAUUUUAAAUAAACUAUGAAAACUUUUUUUUUUUUUUUGCAUAUGACCUUAUAAAAUAUGUAGGAAUAAUUUGUCAUAUUAUAAAUUUUGAAUUAUUUUUGAAUUUUUGAAAGGUUAAAAAGUUUGGAUGACAGUAAAAAAAAUCUUUCGAGUUAUAUAUAGAAUUGCACUUAUCUAUACAUCACAAUUUCCAUAUAUGGACACCGAUGAAUAUAAUAAAAUGGUACGCAAUUUUCAUAUAUUAAUGCCUAUGAAUUUAAUAAAAUGGUAAAAUCUUAAUAAAUUUAUUUUCUGGGUCACAAGUAUAAAAAUUAAAGUUGUAUUAACAUAACAUAAUCUUUGAAAAUUAUCGUAAAAUUACCCAUAUAUUAAGUUCUGUGACUUUCAAACAUACUUUGUAUCAUUUACAUUAUGGAUUUGUAUCCAUAUGUUUUCUAUCAAACUCUUUUUUUAUUGGCAAAUGGUAAGUAAAUUAUUAUAAAAGGGCAUUUUAUAAUAAUCAUAAUUUUUAAUAGAUGAAUUUUAUGUAAACUGUUAAAAUUAGGAAUUCACAAACGACUAAAUCUGACUACUUUAUGGCACAUAUUAGUCUAAAUGACUAAAAAAUUACUGUAAUCAUGUGCACGUUGAUUGUUGAAUUGAAAUUUCCUUUAUUACUAGUACAAGUUCUUUUAAUCAAAGCAAAAUAAGAUCAAAUAUCUUUUCCUUUUGCAUACAGUAGUUAUGCUUAAUAGAAAUUUAUUAAACCAUUUUUACAAUACAUAAUUUCUCCUAAAAUUUGUAACAUUUACCAUGACCUCUAACCUUGACAUUGCUAUUUAAUUUACCUUCUAAAUUUAAUUUAAUUUUCUUAUAUUAAUUGUUAUGCUAAUUUUAUCAUUUUUGUUAUUAUAUUAUUUCUCAUUUUGUUUAGGCUUUUACUCUUAUUAUUUCUUGUGUCUCAGAUGUAAAUUUAUUAAAACUUUAUCAUCUUAUUAUAUUCAUAGGUGUUAAUUUAUAAAAAAUUUGAUACAUAAACAAGUAAUAUUCUAUAUAUAACUAGGAAGAUUUGUUGUUAUUAUUAUCCAAACUUUCAAACUUUUCAAAAAUUGAAAAUAAUUAAAAACUUAUAAUACGACAAAAUUUUAUUACAUAUUUUACAAGAUUAUGUGAAAAGUCAAACUUUUUUCCAUAGUAUUUUGAAAUAUGUAAAUAAAUUUUUUUAAAUGAUAACUAUAAUCUUGUAUUAUACAGGUAUAUUAUGAGUACUUACUAACUAAGGUACUAAAAAUUAAUCAUUAAUAAAAUAUCUUAUCGUUAUUUUAAAUAAAUUCCCUAACACUAGUUUGAAAUAUGUUUUAAAAUAAAAUAGUACAUAUGUCUCAUAAAUCAGUAAGUUUUGAUUAUUAAUCAAUUCUACCAUGUUAUCAGUAAGAAUUACUAUUUAUGUAUUAAACUUACUAUUACUUGAAUUAAACUUACACUAUAAAAAGUAAGUUUGGGAUAUAAAGUAGUAAUUUAUUUAUUUAAAAAGUAAGUUUAAUAGUUAUUCGAAUUUACAUUUUGAAGUAUAAAAGUUACUAAUUUAUUACUGUUAGCUUACUAUUUUAGAUGAAAAACUUACUUUCUUAUUUUUAAGUGUUAUCCUAUUUAGGUGGAUAUGCCUAUCAAAUAAUCAAAUGGCCGCUAAAAGUAAAUAAAAAAUAAAUAAAUAAUGGUCAUAUAAGUGUUAUCCUAGUUAUGUUUCAAAAAGUAAAUCGAAAUAAAAAUGAAAGUUACUUUUUUAAAAAAUUAAAUUACUACUCUACAUUCGAAACUUAGUUUUGUAGGGAGUAAGUUUAGUUCAAGUAAUAGUAAGUUUUUAUAGAUUAAUAGUAAAUCUUAUUGAAAGAAUAGUAAAUUUGGUUAAUCAUCAAAACUUACUAGUUUGUGGCAUAAAUUUACUAUAUUACUUAAAGAAACUUAUAUGAAACAAGUAUUAGGAAGUUUAUUUAAACUAGUGCUAAGAUUUUUUUAUUAAUGGUUGAAACUUAAUAUUAUAGUUAGUAGUUGUUGGUAACAUAAAUGUAUAAUAAUGAUUGUAUGUUUCAUUCAUAAAUGUUUUGUGUUUUAAGCAUUUUAAUAAAUGUAUGUAUCAUUUAUAAAUGUUAUGUGUUUUAAUAAAUUUAUUUUCUAUGUCACAAGUAUAAAAAGUAAAGUGAUCGUAUCUAAUGUAGCGUAAUCAUUUAAAAUUAUAGUAAAUUUACCCAUAUAUUAAGUUUCGUGAGUUUCAAAUAUAUUUCGUAUCAUUCACAAUAUGGAUUUACAUGCACAUUUUUUAUGAAACUUACUUUUAAUUGGCAAAUAGUAUGUAAAUUAUUAUAAAAUGUCAUUUUAUAAUGAUCAUAAUUUUUAUAGGUGAAUGGUAUAUAAACUGCUAAAAUUGUCAAUUUAUAAAUGAUCAAAUCUUACUACUUUAUGGCAUAUAUUAGUCUAAUCAACUAAAAAAUUACCGUAAUUAAGUGUAGUUGGUUGUUGAUUUGAAAUUUGCACCAAGGUCACUAUUUCGUUAUUACUACCACAAGUUUUUCUAAUCAAAGUAAAACAAAGUCAAAUAUCUUUUCCUUUUGUAUGUAGUAUUUAUGUUUAGUAAAAAAUUAGAAAACCAAGAUUACAUUUCAUAAUUUGUAAUGAAAUUAGUAACAUUUUCUAAAUAAAUUGGAAUAAUUUGUAAAAUAUAUUAUUUUUUUACCAGUAUAGUUAGGGGUGGCAAUCGAGUCCAAACUGGAGUAUCUGUAGGAUGUCUCAUGCGACCAUCCUUAGUACGACCCUCGACAUGCCAUUUCAUGAAAGAUGUUGUUUUAGAUAACAUGAACAGACGCUACAAUCUGGGUUUAAGUGGAAAGUGCCACAAAAUCUUGUGGGGAACUUUUCUUUUUUCUCCAAUAGGAUCAUCCUUUGUUGGCACCCACCGUAGAUGUUUACAAGUGUCACAUUUUAUCUUUGAUUCAUCUUUUUCCCAAUACAAUGUGCAAUCAUUAGGACAGGCAUCAUAUUUUUCAUAUCCAAGUCCUAGUUCUUUCAUUGUUUUUUUUGCCUCAUAAUAAGAACUGGGUAGAUUUACACCUUCUGGAAGUGCUUGCCUCAACAAAUCAAGAAGUAUAUUAAAUACAGAAUCGGACAUUUUGCUGAGACAUUUAAUAUGUAACAAACGGACUAGAAAAGAUAGUUUAGAGAAUUGCGGGCAAUCUAGAUAAAGGGGCUGCUUUGAAUCAUUUAUUAAAUUGUAGAAUUUUUCUGCAUCAAUAUUCGGCUGUUCUGUUUCUAAUCUUUCUCCUAUAUCUAGGUCCUGGUUUAGAACUCCUAAUGCAUCUUGUAACAACCCCUGCAUAUCAUCUAUGGGAUUGAGUGGUGGAACUUCAUUUGAGGAACCAUGUGAAGAUGUAUGAUGCAAAUUCGAAGAUAGCUCUCCAUGAGCUAACCAUUGAGUAUAUCCCUUAAUAAACCCUUUCCAUAUCAAGUGUGAUUGGCAUGCUCUCUCGUGACAAAUACCCCAUUUCCACACCUAAUGCAUGGGCAUAAAAUCAUCUCCCCUAUACUUCCAUUUGUAAAUGCAAAAUCAAGAAAAUCUUCUAAACCAGCUUUAUACUCAUCACUUGAUCGUGACAUACUCAUCCAUCUUUUAUCCAUAUUCCCAUAGAUUUUAAUUAUAAAAAAAAAACUUCAUUAGCAUCUACAAGAUAAUUCUACCUAAACUAUUACUGAUUUUUGCAUCAAACAUUUACUUAGAUAAGAAAACUAAUUUCAACGAGAUUAAUAGAAGACACAAAUCACUCAUGGAAUAUUACAACAGUAAAGCUACCAAAAGGAAGCUUUUUAAAAGAAUUUUACCAACCCAAAAAAUGUUGUUUUUAAGGCAAUUUAUUAUCUAAGCCUAUCAAACUUCAAAACAAAUCAAUUUGAUUAAGUGAGACAACAAGAAUCAAGAAAAUAUUGUAGCCUACAAAGAAAUUCAGGACUGCACCCAUUGACAGUACAACCCAUGGUGGGGUGACUUCAUUGAUUAGGCCUGAUUUUCAUAGUUUCUUUAUUAGUUGUUAGUUUUUGCAUGCACUGAUUUUCUUUCUUAAUUUAAUUUAAUGGCUACUAGCAAAGGAAAAGGCAAGAUUCAUUGGGAUUCAGGCACUUAACUAAAUACAUGAUCAUGGAUUGCCACAAAAUUUUGAUUCAAUCCAACAGCAAUAUAUGUGCGUGUGUUUGUGUGUGAGAAAAGGACUAUUAGUUGCACCAAAUGAAGAGGACUAUAUAUAUAUAUAUAUAUAUAUAUAUAUCAAUAGUUAAUACUCUAUGCUUAUUAGCACUUUCCCAGCAAGUGACCUGUUCGUGCUCUAAUGGUUAGUCACAAAAUCACGUUAAGAGGCUUAAGCAAAAUUUUCUUUUAUUUGCCUUAAUCAGAAAUAAACAUUCCGUGACAGAAAAGUACAACAUUUGAGACUUAUAAAAGUACCUAAGCAAAAUAGAAAAGAACCAAGUCAAGAAUCUGUCAAAAUUUGCUAAAUGGUGAUGAUUCUGUUAAGCUAACGAUAUUGGCAUUUUUGAAUAAACUUACAUGCUACAUUUCUAGUCCCUAAAUGCCUAAUUUUUAUGGUAAUCUUUAAUUUCUGAAUUAGUAUGAUAAACCACAGCAUCAUUUCAUCACAAAAACCCAUCACAUUUUCACUUUCACUUCUAGUAUUGCAGCCUAUAAAGCCUAUCGCAUUUUCACUUCUUGACUUUUAAAAUUUCAAUAUGCUCACAAUCUCUGCUAUUCUCUGCUUCAAACACCAACGAAGUCAUGCCUCUACUACCAGAAGAUGGAAAAAUAGAAAAUAAAUACUACUGCUGCUAUUACUAAUGCUACAUUUUGACUACCCAGUCACAAAGACGGGAAUGGAAUAUCCAGGUGUUCUAGACUUUUGAGUAAUAAGAACUAAUCCAAAAGUAUCAAAACAAAAUGAUAUCAAAAGGAAAGACAGCAGAAGUUCAAUUCCAGAUUGUAAGACACAAACUAUCGAACAGAUAGUAGACACAAUGAUGCUAUGUAUGUAAGAUGCACUUUGCAUUAGAAUCCUACGGGCAAAGCAUUCUAUAUCAAGUUCAAAAAGAGCAGCACCCAAAUUUACUGCGAGUUGGGUGAUGAUUUUUAGUAAGUCACUUGGCCGAGUAAGGCACCGCCUGGGCACCCCCUCCGUCACCCACCUCAUUUCCCACGUAGUCCCCGGAGAAGAAAUAAAGCAAUAAAAAAAAGCUAUCAAUUUUGUCUAAAAUGUAUAGGUUACCUGGUAGUAAUCUUCCUUCUGAUGUUCCUUCAAUGUUGUAAGUAGAUGUUCCUUCAUAUAUAGGUUCAGUUGUGAGAGGGGUGAAGGAUUUUGGCUUUUUACAGAGAGAGUUAACUUGAUUGAGGGUUUUAGGAUGAAAAGAGUAAAGUUUAUUGCACAUUGGCGUACUUAGAAUUUUUCCCAAAAAAAAAAAUGGCACUGAAGUGUAGCGCCAUUCCCUUUCCGGCUUUUGUUUUUUUUACUUUUCACAUAUAUUUGGACAAGUUAAAGUGAGACGACGUCAUGCUCGUCAUUUUCUUUGUCAUAAUAACAUUCCCUACUGCAUGUUACAUUAACUUUCUGUUGUGAUACUUUUAGUAAAAUAUCAUAUUAAGUGUGUGACUAAAGGUCAUUUUUGUAGUAGUCUUCUAUGAAUUUUCUCUCCUUUCCUGACUGAAGAAGAGGGAAGAUGUGAUUCUACAAAAUCUAAAUGUAUCAUAGGAUGGUAAUAAGAAUUGCUUCUGCAACACAGAUUUACAGGAGUAAUAAUGGCCAAAUUUCCGUGGCAUUGCAGACGUUACAAUGGAGUAAAAAAUUCAAGAGGCUGAUAAUAAAUUUCCAUAGAUGACCAAAUUUCCGUGGCAUUGCAGACAUUAACAUGGAGUAAAAAAUUCAAGAGGCUGAUAAUAAAUUUCCAUAGAAACAACAAAUUCGCAACAAUGAUUCUAGAUCAGUUCAGUUCAAUAACAUCUGCUCCAUCAAGCGUAUCAACUUAGAAUUUCUAAACGGGAGAAAUCUCUCUUGCCUGCAGAAUUCAAGUUAUAAAGCUCAUGUUGAGUUACUAAUAUAUUAGUAAUUCUCACCCGCACAGAGUAGCAAUCACAACAUACAAAUUUCUCUUUGACAUUUCACCAAACAUCUUAUAUGCAUUCACAAAUUAAUCACAUUUAACUUAAACGCUUGGUCUCAAAUCCUUUCCUAGAUGUUUCACAUGGCUAUUAAGCAUAUUUUACCCGUAGACAAUCAAAACUACAACCAUUUCCUAGAUGUUUCAACGGACAUUUUCGGCCCCAAAAUUGCAAUAAAAUUUUCAAAUUCUCAGCCUUGAUUUCCCAAGAAAAUCUUGACAAACAAAACAAAUGAAAUAUAAAUAAAUUACAUCAAUAUAAUCAAACGAUUUCAAGAGAACAUGAUGAUCUAACCUCGUCACUGCUAUUUUUCAUAUGCUCUUUGGCUGGCUACCACCGACGCUAACCCUUUUGUUGUGUCUGCAUAUGGCAGCACUCAAACCCAACUGAACGAUGAGAAAGGAUAGAGGGAAAGUGUGAACUAAAGAUGAAAAUUUUGAAGUGAGAAGAUUUAUUCAAUUGUAACAAAGAGAAAGUAUGGAUCAAAGUGGAAACCUUUGCCUGAGAAUUCAAUCGUAUCAUUGGAACUGAGAACUGAAUAAGAAGAAGGUAGAUGACUUUAAAGAGAAAGGUGAUACCCAAAACCGUUUUUAGGAACCCAAAACCGUUUUUUUACUUAAAUAUGUACAUUUUUUACUUUUAGUAUUAGUAAGUUUAAUUUAAACAUAAGUAAAUUUUAUCAAAUAAUAAGUAAAUUAAAUUACUCAAAGUGUAAAUUUCUGUUUUUAACUAAAACUUAUCUUUCAGGCAUAUACUUACUAGUUUUAAUUAAAAACUUACUAAAGUUAAUAUUAAUUAUUUUAAUAUAAUAUUUAAAAAGUCGCUAAAAGAUUUGAUCUGUCACUAAAGGUAAUAGAAACAUAUAAUAGCAGGUUUCCCCAAUAUCGUUACCAUAACGAUAGGCACUGUAGCACUGUCCUUGAGAAAUAUCUUUCAUGGAUAGCAUCUCUUUAUUCUUGGGUUAUUAUCACUUUACCCCCUUGACAUUUGGUACUACUAUCAAUUUCCCCCUUAACGUUAACUUUUAGUCACUUUAUCCCCAAAACUAACUGUCAAACUUAACGGGGUUGGCUAAUUAAAAUGAAAAGAUAUGUUUAACCCUUAAAAUUAUUAUCACUUUAGCCUCAUAAAAUAUAGUCUCAUUAUCAAUUUACCCCAUAGAGUUAUUUUUUUAGGCAAUUUAUCCUACCAUUAAACCAACUUAGCAAGUUAAAAAACUUUAGAAGAAAAUACCCUCCUCUUUGCAUAAUAAAAAAUUUAAAGUGACUAUUCUCCUUUUUAGUAUUUAGAAAAAAAGUCAAAAUAUUAAUUUCUUUUUCUUGGCAAUCUUAUUAAUAUUGAAAAAAAUAGAAAGAUGGAGAUGGAGAGGGGGAGGGGGAGGGGGAGAGGGAGAGAGAGAGCUCAAUUCUUUUUUUAAAAAUUACAAAUAAAAAAGAAUUAAAUAUUUUAAUUAUUUUAAAAUUAUUUCACUUUUUUGUUUACCACCAAAUUCCAAUCCUAAUCUCGACAAUCUUAAAGUAACACGAUAAUGUUAAACUUUUAUUUAUUUUCGUUUUUUGCAAAAUCUAAUUUUUUGUCUCCUUCUUUCCUAUCCCUUUUUCUUUUCCUAGUAUUAAUAAAUGUGAAAAAAGGAAAUUUGAGAAAAUCCUUUUAUUUUUAUGUUUUUCGAUCUCUUAAAGUGAAAAAAAAGAAAGAAUAACUAUUCCAACUUUUUUUUAAUUAUAUAUAAAAAAGGUAAAUAUAUCUAAAAUAUUUUAUCAUACUAGUUAGAUUAACGAUGAGGUAAAAUGCCUAGAAAAUAAUGUUAGGAAUUAAAGUGAUUGUAUCACUAUAAUCUAAUGAAUAAAGUGAUAAUAACAAUGUAGAAGUGAUAAUAACCCUUUAUUCUUUCCUAUCAGUUAGUUCUAUCAUACUGAUUUCUAAGUGUCUUACAGUCACUGAAGUCUUCUAACUAUGGAUGUACAUUGAACUUUCCGUAAUUGCAAAUUUUUUUCCUUCAUUAAUUUCUGCUUAGAAUGUUCAAUUGCUUGAAGCUCACAAAUGCCAUUGAUCUUCAGACAAUCAAUUUCAGAAACUAAGAAGCUGUGUUUUUUCUCAGAGACCCAUUGCAAGUGUAGUUGCAGAAAUCUUACAACAAAGAAAGUAAGAAAGUAUAAUUUUGUUUGAUCACCUAUAUAAUUGGUAGUUUGCAUUUCAAAAGUGUCACAGUAGCUGAAAAAACAGUGCAUAAUGAAACCUGACAGAUGCAUCUGGAGAAAAGGCUGUUCUUUGGCCUUUUCCUUUGAGAAGACAUAAUCCAGGAUCCAACCUCAGAAUCUGUUUCACCAUUUCGACGUUCCCCAUGAUUGCAGCUACAUCUAGAGGCCGAAAACCACCUCUGUCAAAUUCUCUAGCCAGCUUCUUGUUGUGCUUCAUAAGCUCAAUCACAAAUCUAACAUGUCCACCUUUAAUUGCAACAUGUAGAACAGACUCCGGAGGAUUACCAAAUGCAACAUCAUCAAGAAGGGAUGGAUUUUCUUGAAGCAUUUUGUUUAGUAUUUCAGUAUCUCCCUUGUGAGCAGCAUCAAUUACCCUUUUUUUGCUCUCCAUUCCUGAGGUUAUUACUUUCUGAAAGAACUAAUGAUUUUUUUUUUUUUUGGUCAAAACAUAGGAUGAAAGAACUAACGAUCUGACAGGCCGAAUUUUUGGGGGAAGGUCAUGCACAGCUUUGCAUCAUUGGCUGAUUAAAUAAGAUGAAUUAGUAUUUACUUGUACUACACUUUGUUGAUUUUGCAUGGUCUGCCGUUGAAUAAUUCCAUUAGAAAAUUUGGGUUUAGGAACCAGUAAUCCAAUCACAUUCAAAAGCGUAGUAAUUUGCACUUGACAUAAUCAGAAUUGAUAUUUCCACCAAGCAUAUCUCUGAUCAAGGAUGUUACUGUUCAAAGACUUUCAGCAGUUGAGCAACCAAAUCCAUUUCUCAUUUAUGUAUCAUUCUCUUGUUCUUGGGAAGAUAAACAGAAAAAUUAUUGCAUUUUCAGUCUUAUAUGGUGCAUGUGUACCUGAUAGACACAGAACAAAAUAAGACCAAACUACCCGAUCACAUAUAUUGAUUAAUGUGAAAAUUUCUAAAAACAUCGAAGUUAAGUAACAUCAUAGUUAGUAACAUCUCCAUGUUAUACGAGUUGAUGUAUGUGCCUGUCUUACAGGGAGAGACAACGGUUUCCAUCAUUCCAGAAGCAGUUUAGGAUCAAGUAACAUUUCUUGCUUGCAUCUUCUGAAAUACUUCUCAGUCAAUACCAGGUAUUUCAUUCAACAAUAGCUUUUAGAAAAUGUAUGGCCUCUAAAAUUGGAUUGGUGACAGCUCAAAUGUGAAUCGAAUCCACGCUUUUUGCCCCUACCAGGUACAACUGCCACGGUUGCUUAGUAGUAUAUGCUAAUUGAAUUGUCAAAGCUGAGAAUGUGUCAAUGCAAAAGAGGUUUUCUUUGAUUUAGUAUCAAAAUACGUCGUUCUCAAUACUACAUUGAAUGUUCAAAGAGAGACUCGCGUGUCAUGAACACGUCUAUCACCUGAUACACAAUACCUAAAUUUAUUUCUUCAUAAAAAGCUACAAUAAAUUGAAUUUGGUAAAUAAUGGAUCUUCUGUAAUUAGAACCAUUUUAAUCUGUGGCAUCACGAGUUCUGUAGCCUUAAUAACACUACCUUCAAUGAAAGUAGCUCAAUGACUUGAAGCAGAAAACAAAUCGUCAUGAGAACUGGAGAACUUCCAUCUUCAAUCAGUUGCACGGCUUGUGCAUGGUAGUCUAAACUUUUGUAACUUGCAAUGAUUCCUCAUUAUCAUCGUUGCUAUAGGUAUCAACAUCGGCAGAACUAUGGAUACAAUAGUGAACCACAAAGUGAUGUCCUUAUCUGGUGAUAUUGUAGCCAUGGAAGUAUCAUAAGUUACCAAAAGCGCAAAAAGAGAGACUUGCAACUCCAUUUGUAAGGGAAAUCCAGCAAUGAGAACGUUUAUCAUGUAAGUGGACAUAAAAAAUCCAAUUGAAUUAAAAAUCAGAAAAAGACCAUAAGAAAUCUUAUUGUGAGUGCCCAUUACUGCUUCUCCAGCUUUGUGGGGUUUGGUGGAUGUGGCGUCUGUGCCUGUACCUUGACUAGGCAAAGAGUCGUCUUGCCAAACGCCACCGGGUGGACUAAGCACAGCUUGAUAUGUUGCUGUUGCAAUUAACACAGCUAACACAAGCAAUGUGUUUCGCACUUCAUUUGGAGAAUCUCUAAGCUUGUCAAACUUGAAAUAGUGUAGCAACUUCUCUGAGGGAGAUUGAGCACGCGCUCUCCUUGACUGGAAAGGUGAUGGACUCUGAGUUGUGACGACCAAAUUAUCAGAUAAUGCUCCAUUUUGAGGUGACUGCAAGUCUGCCGCCGCUCUAGCCCCAGCUGCUUUGAGCAUAUCCUCUAUUUCUCUAUCACCCCCUUCAGACAGUAAGCUAUCAAUAGGCGUAAAACCUCUCUUGUUCAACGAGUUGACCUCCACUCUGCCCUCAUGAAAAACAUUUUUGUCGAGCAUGAAAUCGAUUACCUGCUAACAUAGUGUAAUUUCAGUUACUGAACUUUAAAACAUCACGAGACAAUGAACAAAUAUUCAACGCGUUUGCGACUCACCUCAUACUGCUUUCUCGAGACAGCAAGAUGCAAAAUGGUGUCACCCUGAUGGUCCUUCUUAUUCAAGAUCUCCCAAUUGUUUGACCGUAUCAGGUACUGUACCAAGAAUUCAAAGGCUUCGAAUUGGUUGUUCUUUAAAGCCAAAUGAAGGAUUGUCUCACCUCUUCCAGUCACAUACCCAACUGACUCGGAGCAAGCAGAAAGCAGUUCGUCGAUGACAUGAAUCCUGCCUUUAAUAGCAGCAUAAUGAAGCGGGAUUCGUCUCUCUUUUCCCUUGAUCAGGCACAGAAAGCAAUUUACCUGCAAAAGCUCUUUCACAAUUUGUAUAUCCCCAUUACCUGAUGCAAUAUGCAAGGGGCUAAAUCCAUCCUGGUUGAGCUCUUCAGCAAACUCCGGCCUCAACUUUAAAACUUCUUUCACAAAAUCAGUAUGGCCUCCUAUGCAAGCUAUGUGCAAUGGAGUCUCGGAACCUGCCAAUGGAGCAGCCCUGAGUAGAAGGGCAUACUCUUUAAUGAGAUUUUGCAAGUCUUGAACAUUUCCUGUCUGAGCAGCUUCGAUGAGCCUCCUAUCCAUCCUCUUUAGGUAAUCUUACAUCUGGGGCCCUGAAUGAUUCAAGUUCCUUUAUUUAGUUUUUGCCCUUUGGGUCUUGGAAAAUUCUGGGGGAAAUAUUUCAACGUUUGCGGGGGAAAAUUCUCGAUUAAUAUUCAAUCUCUUUACUUUGACCUUGAAAAUAGAGUUUGGAGACAAGGAAUUUGCGUCAUAGAGGAAAUUAGGCUGCUUGGUCAAGGAAGGCUGGAGAUUAGCCUGAUCGCAAUACAUCAAACUGUUAACGAAACAUUGACAACUUACUUCCAAGGUCAAUAUAUAGCCUCUAUAUAAUUCAGCAGUGAUCCAAUCCCAACCACUUCUCUGGGCCGACUCCUGUUUUCAGCAGUGUGAAAAUGGUUAUGGUCCUCCACUUCACAAUUUUGAAUUGAAUAGGACCUCAAGAUUGGAAAGUAGAGGACAUUGGCCUCUGCUGGUUGAUAAAUCCUUAGUCCUUACAGAAAAGUAUUCACAGAAAAGUAUUCUUGACCGAAGGCAUUCUGCGUCGAGAUUAGUAAGGGGAGGAGUGCAACUCGUCUCUCUCCUCUCCAUAAUAGCACUCAAGCUGCUGCUGGUAUGAUCUCAAGGCUGAUAUUGAUACACAGGCGGAUGCCAGCAAGGCAAAUACCACCCUGGAGUCUCGUAGCAUAAUUGUCAGCACUCUUGAUGGAAAAAUGACUUAGUGAUGACAUUGGCUCUAGGCUCAACCGUGUUGAGGACCCGCAUAAACACCAUUUGCAAAACCCGUCCAAUGCAUUAAAAGCGUACAAGGCAGUACUAAAUUACUUUAAAGCAUGAAAACUCCUGUACAAAACCUGUCCAAUGAGUUAGUUGAUCUCUGAUGGCAAACCAUGCUUCAGCGAAGCAACCCUGCAAAUGAUGUGAGGAACUCUGAAGCAAGUACAAGCCCCUUAAAUCCUGUAAGACUCCAACUUGGGCAAUGCGAAUCUUUGGACUUUAAAGAUGAUUGAACCAAUCUCUAUAGGCAAUGGAGAGUGACUUCUUCUCACGUUGGCUGGCAAGAAAAACAUGCAAAGAAGGAAAUUAAAUUGCAAGAGCAAUACCUGAUGAGACACUAGUUGAGCAUCAGAAAAUAACAAGAAAAGGCAGACAGCACCACUAUCAAGUUCUCCGGGUUCAUCAUGGAAAAAGCCCACUCCUCAACUUGGAACAGAUGCUAAAAGCAAUAGGACUCGCAGCUCUAAAAGAAGACGUUAUCAUGUCGGGCAAUAUGACUCGCAGCUAAAUAGUGUUGGCUUGCAGCAUGAAAAUCCCCUUUGCCACCAACCAGAAAUGUUAUUAAUUUGGUUCAUCAAACAUCCCAAAACCAUCAUUACAUUUAACAACUACCAAGAAAUAACGUUUAUCUUUGUGCAUAGUCAACGGCCCUAACAAAAUAGAACCAUCAGCAUAUCAGGUUGACCAAACUUGCUUACAACAACUUUAUGAUGCCAACAUUGCACAGCCAAAAGUACCAGUGAGUUUGUGUGCGGGGUGAAAGAGAGUGAGAAAAGGCAUAUGAGAGAAUUAAGAAUAUGAAGAGCAACUGAAGCAUCAAAUUCAAGUUGUUCAUUUCCUUCUCUUUUUUUUAAACUAGAAAUAGGUCUCGUACUUUGCACUAAUUAUAAUAUCAUAAAAUAUAAUAUUUUUUAUACAUUAAAAGCUAUUUGUGAAAAUUAUUUAACAAAUAUAACAUUUUCACAUUUUCUAUUAUUUAUUUAAUUUGUUAUCCUCUUUAAUUAAUUAUCUUUAUAAACCAUUAUUUUAAAAAGAAAAAAAAAGUUCACAAAAUGUUAUAUCUACAAAUUCAUAUAAAAUCUCUAGAGAAUUUUUGAUAAAUGAGGAUACAUUUGAGCGCUUUAAAUUUAAAAUAAUGGUUUUAAAGACACUUAAAAAAUAAAGAAGAUCAAAACUAACAUUUAAAAAAUAAAGAUUUGACCAAAUAUGAAAUGAUUUGAAAAUAUGAAAAUAUUAAAUUUGUAAAAAUAAUUUUCACAAAUAAAUUUUAAUCAUAGUUAUUAAAACCAACCCAAACAUCACCAGGCAAGAGGACCGGGUUGGCGGGUCAGUGGUUCAAUGGGUCACAUUAUAUAUUAAAAAAUAUAUAAUAUAAUUCAAAAAACAUAUAAAUUAUAUUAUAAGUACAAAAAUUCUUAAAUGCUAACAAAUCAUAACCUAUUCAUAUUUAUAGUUCAUACACAUAAGCCAUACCCACAUAUGUUCCAUAGUUCAUGAAUUCAUAUUGCUAUUAUACACAAAUAUAAAUGAUAAAUCUAAGCGCCAAAAAAAGAAAGAAACCCUAAUUUCCAAAUCCCUUUUCAAUUUUUCUCAUCUAAUUAUCAAAAAGAUGACAACGCCCAUGCUGGUGUAGCUGAUUAAAUUAAUAAAAUUGGGUAAAAAGGUAAUUUCAUAAAGAUUUUCAAAACCCGUCGAGUUCAUAAAAAAUCGUCGGGUUUAGCGAGUCACAGGUUCGAUUGUUCAAGUCAAACGGUUCAAAGCAACUCAUGUGCAACUCCUAUCCAAUUGCUAAACCAACCCGGUUCCAUGGCUAGUCCACUGAUUUGACCGGUUCAACCACUGGGUCGGGCCGGAUUUAAUAACUAUGAUUUUAAUGUAUAAAUAAUAAUAAAACCUUUAAUUUAUUAAAUUUCUGUGCACAAAUUUGAUUAUUGGCAUAAAAUAAACUAAAAAACUAUAUAGUGAACAAAAUUAAGCAAUUGGUAAUUUACAAAAUGUUUAGUGUGUACAAAGCAAUUAAAAGUUUAUUAUGCAUUCUACAGUUAUAAAAACUCUGAAAAUGGAAGAUUAUCAUAUUUAAACUAAAUUUUUAGUAUAAUAUUGACUAAGAAACCGUAUAAUAAACAAAAUUAAGCAAUUGCUACUUGUAGAAAACGUUUAUUAUAUACAAAGUAAUUAAAGGUUUAUUGAACUCUCCAGAAGGAAGAUACUCAUAUCUAAAUUAAAUUGUUGCAUAUUUUGUAACAAUAAGGAGAGAAAAUUUUCUAUGUUGUAUCAAACCAGUGUAUACAACAAAAUCUGAGCAAAAUACAUACUAAAAAUUAUGAUUUGCAUACAGUAAAAUUUUAUCAAUUUAAGUAGUUGUAAACCUUUUAUGUUAUAUUUUUAUAAUUAUUCAUAACUUUUUUUAAAGUUUUCUUAGCAAAUAUGACAUAAUAUAGUGAAUUUAAUUAUCAAUUUAACCUUUUAUUUUUUUCAUUAACUGUUCAUAACAUUUUGUCUUCUUAUUAAUCGGGGUUUUCUUCUAAACCAAUAUGUAUAUAAAAUACAGUUAGCUUUAAUUAUCACACAUAAGAAUAUAAUAAUGGGAGAUAAUUUUAACACAUACAAUAAUUGGAGAUAAAGAAAAUGAUUGGUCAAUAUAGUUGUCAAUGGAUAGCUUUUAAUUUUAAUUACUAACAUUUUUUAGAUGUAAUUUAUUGAAACUUUUCAUUUUUUUUAUUAGUGUCACGAUUGAAAUGCAAUAACUCUACUAAAAAGACAUGAGAGGAAUUUAGGCAUAACAAAAACUAAUAUCAAAAUAUGUUUACACUUACACUCUCUAUUGCCAAGAUCCAUCAUACUUUUUAUGUAGUAAUGAUAAUGAUACUUGCCAAAUCUGCUAACGAAUUGAAGGAUUGCAUUGCCGCAUAAUAUCAGCAAUGAACCUUUCCUAAUUAUUCUCAAUGAUGCAAAAGUCACAUUCAUCACAUCCUUCUCUUUCUGAAUGCAUCGUUUCCAGUUUUAUUGGCAGAAUAUCAAAUUCUCCAGCAAAUUAAUUGAUACAAAAAAGAAAUGAAAUGCUUAAGGAAAAUUCGUGUGGUUGGGCUGUCAUUUUCUGUCUAUUAUGUUUGAAAUCAUAAUCUAUUGUGGUCUUUUUGGUAUAAAUGUUUUGUCUUUGAACUUGAUUUGAGUAAAUCUAGAGAAGGAAGCACCUUGACAUAACAUUUUUGGUAGCUGCAACACUUAAUUUUGGCCAAAUUUGAUGUUGGAAUCGCGUUGUGGAAAAAACUAUUCUCAAACCACCAUCCAACAUGGAGGUGGGUGGUGCCACCACGGGGCCUUUGUGGUGUUGCCAUGCCUAGCAAUUGUUCCAACUCAAUGAGGAGGAAGAAGGUGAAAAUUGAAAAGAAAAAAAAAAAAGGAAAAGCUCUAAAACUACAUAAUUUUCUCAUGUUUUGGAGACAAGGUGAUAAAAAAUGAACAGGACAAAUUUAACCACGUCUUUUGUCAUAUGCAUUGCACAUGGCGGCACACAUUCCAUUUGGAUUAUCGAUUAAUUGGACGAAAUGCGCAACGGAUCUUCUGUCCCACACCCUAUGUCAUUCUCUGUCCCAUUUUUUAUUAUAUUACUAUUUUUCCUAAAUAAACACCAUAUUUUAAUUCUUUUUUUAUUUCCUUAAAAUCCAAUAACUGUUAACUGAAUAAAAAAUCGAUACAACAGCUUCAAAAAAGCAAUAUAUAAUAGAAAAUUAAAAAAUACAGCAGAAAAUUCAUAAAAAAAUCUCAUUUUUUAUGCAUUUUGAUUUUUUGAGUUUGUUAAAUUUUGUAUAUUACUCAGUUAAUAAUUAUUGGAUCUUAAGGAAACAAAUAAGAACUAAAACAUGAUGUUUAUAUAAGAGAAAUAGCAAUAUAAUAAAAAGUGGGACAGUGAAUGGCACAGAAUGUGGGACAGAAGAUCCGUUGCGGACAAAAUGACUAUUAGCACCCACAUUUUUUUUUUCACAACAAUGGCCAAUUGAAAAUAAAAAAUAGUUGAGCGGUCAAAAAUAUGCUAGCUGAAUAGCUUAGUGCUGUCCAAAAAUACAGUAGCUGAAUAGCUCGCAUAUGGUUCAUAUAAGCCUAAUAGACACGGAGCCAACAAAGACCAAAGAACCUGCAACAUAUGAUUAAUGUGAAAAGUCAUAAAAGACUUCAGAAUUAAGUAACAUUAUAUCAUAGUAUAAUGUGUUUUCUAGGUAUGUCUAAAAUUGCAUCGUAGUUAGUGCAGUUGUUUCGGAAACAUAUUGAUGCUUGUCUAAAAUACCUAAAACAUUUUUUUUUUUUUGUGUUAUCUUCACCAUCCAUUUAACCAUUUUGCCACCGGUAACUUAUUUAAGGUACUCUUUUUAUUUUUUUUUCCAAAACUUGUAGAUGAUUUAAAUAUUUUGCGGUUCAUGAUGUCUUCAACAAGGUUUGUGUUUCUAAAACGGGUCAUAGAAACAAACCUUAGUAAUAUCUCCUCCAAGUUUUACAAGUACAUACACGUGCAUGUCUUAAGAGGGGACAACCAUUUCCAUCAUUUUCGGAGCUUAAGCACCUGGUGACAUUUCUAGUUUACAUAUUCUUAAAUAUUUCUUAGUUAGUGUCAUAUAUUUCAUCCAACAAUAACUUUAAAAGUACUUAGUUGGCCUUUAAAAUUUUCUUGGCGACCUGCAUAGAUGUGUAUCCAUGCUUACUGCUUCUACCAAGUAAGCCAAUUGCGACGCUUUUCAAGUAUAUUGUGUUGUAAGUCAAAGCUAAGAAUGUGUCAAUACAAAAGAUAAUUGCUAAUGUGUCACUACUUUCUUUGAAAUUUUUCGCAAUAUCACUUAAUACGUCCUCCUAAACCUCUACAAUUAUCACUCAUCGUCCUUACCACCUAAAAAUCAAUAUCAUAAGGAACCAAUUGACACUUUUACCCUAGUUUUUAGGCUUAUUUGGGGAAUAUUUUCCCACAAAAAAAAAAAAGUUUGGCAUUUUUGUUUUCCUACCUUCUUUUGGAAAAAAUGCAGAAAUAUUUACCUAUUUUUAAAGAAAGUGUCAUAAAAAAAAUUUUAUCACCAAAUGAGAUGCUUUAUGUUGGAAAGUGUAAUUUUUGUUUUACACGAAUGUAUGCACCACGUUGGUUCAUGUUAUUCGCUUCAAAUAUUUUAUUGUCUUGAUAUUACUGGAAAAAGACUACAUUUUCCGUAGCAAAUGCAGGAUUUUUAUUUUUAUUUUUGUAAUUUUUGCUUUAAAAAAUUUCGAUUGUAACUUUCAAUUAGAACCCAAAUUUCAAUCUCUAAUAUUGGAAGAUACAGGUGAAUUGUAUGACUUUACUCUAAACUUAAUCAGGGCAUGCUUGUGCUCUCCAAUGCUUAAUUUUAUAUUUUUUGAUUUCAUGUGGGAGAAGAUCAAACCAGAAGUAUAAUAAGGUCUAAUGAUUUUUGUUGCAAGAUUUAGUAUACAAUGUUGGAUAUUGGAUUGCAAUCAAAUGAAUCAUCGAUGGUGAUAUUAAUCCAGCAACAAUGUGUUGGAGGAGAGUACACGAACAAUCUCUGAUCUUCAAAAAAUAAUCACCUUGGAAUUGACAGCUACUAAGAAGUUCGGUAGGGCUGAGGUGCGUAGAACGCUCUCUUUAAGACGAUAUGCGCCCCUACGGUGCUUUUCAAACCGAUGCAGAAGAUCUAGCGCGCCGCCUCCAGGAUACAACAGCCCAACUCUAUAGUUGUUACUUCUCUUUGAUCUGCACAACCAAGAGAAGCAGAAACUUCCCAAUAUCCUUCUUUGCCCAAAGAAAACAGAAUGAAGGAGAAAGAAAUAAAUGUGAGGAGGAUAGUAUUUUAGAGUGAUUUUUUGUUGUGAGAAGAAGUGUGUCAAAACCUUUUGAGAACUCCACUAUUUAUAGGCUACAAAAUCUUAAGUAAAAGAAAAACUAAUGUGUAACAGUUUUUCAUAUUAAAAUGUAGUUAAUAGGUAGAAUUAGUAACCUAAAGAGUUAAUUCACAUUUGAAUGGGUUAUAAAGACUUAUUCAAAUAAUCCUUUUGUAACCCCCACAAUAAUACAUAAUUCUUAUUCAAAAUUCUUUUGUAACUCCCACAAUACCAAAUAAUUCUUUUGUAACUCUUAUUCAAAAAAGUAACUCACAAUUAUAACUCCAUUCAAAAUGCAAUGUAACUCCCACAAUAACAAUUUACAUAACUCACCAAUGAAUACUAUUGUAACUCCUUGAAAAGAUUUAUCCAAAAAUUAAGAUUUUAUUAAAAUACACCAACAUUCCCCCACUUAUUUUAAUAAAAUCUGAAAGAGAUAAAAGGAAAUUUGGGCAAAGUGAGAAUAUCAUGCAUAGUGAAAGUGGCAUUGCCUUGAAACCUUCACUUAGUGUUUCCAUAAUCCUCAUAUUAGAGUCAAAGUGGACUAAAGCCUUGAAACUAAGACUACUUUAAGAUAUGUAAGAUUAUGUCACACACAUGAUAUUCAAGAUAUUAAUUAAUAUGCUUCUUAAGCCAGUACAUUACAGCCUUGUGCUUUAUCCCAAAUUCAUGAAUGCUUUAGAAAAUUAGUCAAAUUCUCAUAGGAAACGGCCUUUACUUCCACACUCAUAUAGGUGAGUCUAUCAAGAAUGCCCCUAUGACUAAGGCAUCCCACCCAUAAAGAGCUAUAGAACUCAUUAAAAGAUUUAUAUCAAAUCUUAACCUUUUCUUCGUCAUAGAACCACGAGCAUGCUUUACACCAUGGGAAGGGAUUUAAUAUACGCAUGCUUUUCACCCAAACCAUUCUAUGAUUCAUUUAUCCUGACCUAGUUCUUGGGAUCUCCAUUCUAGAGGAUAUCACUUUCUGACAAGAACAAAUAAACUCACGGGCAGAAUUUUUGGCCGAAGGUCAUGCACACAGUUGCAUCAUUGGCUCAUUAAAUAAGAUAUGUACUUGCAUAGUCUACCUUGGAAUAAUUCCAUUUAGAAAUUUUGGUUUAGGAACCAGUAAUCCAAUCACAUUCAAAAACGUAGUAAUUUGCACUUGACAUUUACAGAAUUGAUAUUUCCACUAAACAUAUCUCUGACCAAGGAUGUUACUGUUCAAAGUCUACAGCAGUUGAGCUUCAUAACCAAAUCCAUUUUCCAUUUACCUACCAACUUCUUGCUCUUAAGAAGUUAAACAGAAAAAUUUUUGCACUUUCAAUCUCAUAUGGCGCAUAUGUACCUGAUAGACACAGAAUAGACAGAGACCAAACUACCCUAUUGUAUAUUGAUUAAUGUGACAAGUUCUAAAUACUUCGAGGUUCAAUAAUAUCAUAUCUUAGUAAAAUUUCUCGUAAGUUGUACAAUUAGAUUUAUGUGCGUGUCCAAUGUCUUACAGGGAGAGACAACAAUUCCAUCACUCUAGAAGCAGUUUAGGACUAAUGUAAGUGACUUUUGUUACUUACAUCUUCUGAAAUACUUCUCAGUCAAUAUCAUACAUUUCAUCCAGCAAUAGCUUUUAGCAAACGUAUUCAAUUGGCCUCUAAAAUUUGCUUGGUCACUGCUCAGGUGUGAAUUCAUGCUUCUUGCGUCCACCAACUAAGCCAACUUCCACGGUUGUUAAGUAUAUUCUAAUUUUAUUGUCGAACCUAAGAAUGUGACAAUGCAAUAGAGUUUUGCUGUGAUCUACUGUUCAGAUAUGUCGUUCUAGAUAAUACGUUGAAAUUUAAAAGAGAGAAACGUGUCACGAACAUGAUUAUUCACCUGGUAGGCUGGUACAAAAUUGCAGAAUUUAUUUCUGCACAAAAAGCUAUAAUGAAAUGAUUAGACAGAGAACGGAUUUCCUGUAAAACAAUUUAUAUUUGUGGCAUCAACCAGUGCUCUCUCUUUAUUGACACUAUCUUCAUUCUUCAAUAAAAAAAGUAGCUCAAUUACCAAAAGCUGAAAACGUAUUGUCUGCCUGAGAAUAGCUAAUUAAACAAGUAACUAACAAGAGAUAACUAAAUGAGAAACAAAACUAGGAAGAGAUUGAGCAAAUGAAUCUAAAGCAUGAAACUAGUUCCUUGGUCCUAAAAGGGAGAUUGUUGUGAGCACUGAGCUAUUUCACACUGCGAGAACAAAUUUGUUCUCAGACUGGAUCGAACUGUACACAUUCCAUUUCCAGGUUGCUAGCGGCCUAGCAACAGGUUAGCUCCUUGUGGACACGAAAGAAAAUUCAGAAAUUGAGCGAGAGAGAGAGAGGGAUUAAUAUAUGGUAAAAUGAGAUUAAACUCGCUAUAAAUUGACAUGAUUGUCCUAAUGAACCAACAAAAGAAAUACAGAACAGCGAUCAAGAAAGUAGCUGCAUACAUGCUGAAAAACAUCACCAGAACUGGAGAUCUUCCAUCUUCAAUCAGUUGCAGGGCUUGUGCAUGGUAGUCUAAACUUUUGUAACUUGCAAUGAUUCCUCAUUAUCUUGGUUACUAUAGGUAUCAACACCGGCAGAACUGCGGAUAGAAUGGUGAACCACAAAGUGAUGUCCUUAUCUGGUGAUAUUGCAGCCAUGGAAGUAUCAUAAGUUGCCAAAAGCGCAAAAAGAGAGACUAGCAACUCCAUUCUUAAGGGAAAUCCAGCAGUGAGAACGUUUAUCAUGUAAGUGGACAUAAAAAAUCCAAUUGAAUUAAAAAUCAGAAAAAGACCGUAAGAAGUCUUGCGGUGAGUGCCCAUUACUGCUUCUCCAGCUUUGUGGGGUUUGGUGGAUGUGGCGUUUGUGCCUGUACCUUGACUAGGCAAAUAGUCGUCUUGCCAAACGCCACCGGGUGGACUAAGCACAGCUUGAUAUGUUGCUGUUGCAAUUAAUACAGCUAACACAAGUAAUGUGUUUCGCACUUCAUUUGGAGAAUCUCUAAGCUUGUCAAACUUGAAGUAGUUUAGCAACUUUUCUGAGGGAGAUUGAGCACGCACUCUCCUUGACUGAGUAGCUGGUGUACUCUGAGUUAUGACAGCCAAAUUAUAGGAUGAUGCUCCACUUUGAGACGGCUGCAAGUCUGCUGCCCUUCUAGCCCCAGUUGCUUUAAGCAUUUCCUCUAUUUCUCUAUCGCCCCCUUCAGAUAAUAAGCUAUCAAUAGGCGUAAAACCCCUCUUGUUCAACAAGUUGACCUCAACUCUGCCCUCAUGAAAAACAUUUUUGUCGAGCAUGAAAUCGAUUACCUGCUAACGUAGUGUAAUUUCAGUUGCUGAACUUUAAAACAUCACGAGACAAUGAACCAAUAUUCAAGGCGUUUGCGACUCACCUCAUACUGCUUUCUCGAGACAGCAAGAUGCAAAAUGGACUCACCCUGAUGGUCCUUCUUAUUCAAGAUCUCCCCAUUGUUUGACCGUAACAGGUACUGUACCAAGAAUUCAAAGGCUUCGAAUUGGUUGUUCUUUAAAGCCAAAUGAAGGAUUGUCUCACCUCGUCCAGUCACAUACCCAACUGACUCGGCACAAGCAGAAAGCAGUUCGUGGAUGACAUGAAUCCUGCCUUUAAUCGCAGCAUAAUGAAGAGGGAUUCGCCUCUCUCUUCCCUUGAUCAGGCACAGAAAGCAAUUUACCUGCAAAAGCUCUUUCACAAUUUGUAUGUCCCCAUUACCUGAUGCAAUAUGCAAGGGGCUAAAUCCAUCCUGGUUGAGCUCUUCAGCAAACUCCGGCCUUAAAUGUAAAACCUCUUUCACAUAAUCAAUGUGGCCUCCUAUGCAAGCUAUGUGCAACGGAGUCUCAGAAACUGCCAAUGGAGCUGACCUGAGUAGGAGGGGAUUCUCUUUUAUGAGAUUAUGCAAGUCUUGAACAUUUCCUGUCUGCGCAGCUUCGAUGAGCCUCCAAUCCAUCCUCUUUAGGUAAUCUUGCAACAGGGGCCUUGAAUGAUUCAGGUUUCAUUAUUUAGUUUUAGCUCUUCGUUCUUGGAAAAUUCUGGAGGAAAUACUGAAACAUUUGUGUCCCUAUCAUUCUUUUUUGUUAUGCAAGUCAAAAGGACAAAAUAACUAAUCCUUUUGCGUUGACCUUGAAAAUGGAGCUAGAAGACAAGAAGUUGUAUCAUAGAUGAAAUCAGGUUAAGUGGUCAAAGAAGACUAGAAACCACUAGGUUUGAAUAAGGGCCACCAAAAAGGAAUUUAAAAGGACCUUUCUGGAUCGUAGGGCGGAGGUUCGACUCCCAUCUAUAAUGAAAAAAGUUCAAAGCCCUUUGAUUUAGUCUGGUUCUUCUCAUACCUACUACUAUCUUCUUGUACAUUUUUUCUUUAGGUUCCCCUCUCUCUCUCUCUAGAUUAGAAUAAAUUAGUUUAUAUAAAAGUUAUUGAUGCCACACAAAAAAAAAAAAGGUCAAAGAAGGUUAGAGUUUCAUCUGAUUGUAACUCAUUAAACUGUCUGUAGAGGUGUCAAAAUAGGUGAUUUGGGCGGGUUUGGGUUAAUUAAAAUAGGUAAUGAGUAUAAGCGAGUCAAUUCAUUUAUAUCCAUUUAAUUAGAUGGGUGUAAAUGAGUAAGUCAAAAAUGAAUUAGGUAACCCAAUUAUUCAUUUAUAACCCAUUUAUUUUAAUUUUUUGUAAACUCAUUUAAAUUUAGUUUUGCAAACUAAGUUAUUAAUUUAUACCACUCUUUGCAUUCAUUGUUAGUUUUAAAUAUUUACUUAUAAUACUCACUAAGUCUCAUUAUCAAUUUUUUUUCAUAUGUACUCUAUGUCGCAAAAUUACAUACUAUUUAAUAAUUAAAUAAUAAAAAUAUAAAAAUUUGUAUUAAGUACUAUAAAAGUUAAUAUAAAAAUUAAUCCAAAAAAUUUUUUUGACCCCUAUCAUUUUUUUCGUGUGUAAAUUUAAAAUUUCAUUUUGAAAAGGUAGGAAAAAAGGCUAAAACUUGUCAUAAAUUGGUAAUACUGAAAAAUGAGCAAAUUAACAAACUAAGAGAAAAUAAAAUGAUAAGAUAAAACCAACAAAUAAUAAUAAUGAAACAAAAGUAGUUAAAAUCAUGACAAAAUGAAAAUUUUGAAAAAAAAAAUAGGUGGGGGAAGACAAUUCUAAAUGGUUAAUUAGAUUUGAUGGGUUAUCCAAUAAUAUCUAUUUAUUAAAUAGGUAUUAUUGGAUAAUCCAUUUAUACUCAUAUGAAAUGUGGACAAUUACUUGUAAGAUUCGUAGCCUAUAACUUAGACGUGAUCCGAUCCCAACCCCUUCUCUGGGUCAAUGUUCCUCUCUUAAGCAAUAUGAUAAAAGCAAUGUAUGUGUUUGGAUAUAGUAUUAUUUGAAAUAAUUAUUAUAGUAUUUUUUUGUGAUAUAAUGUAUGUAAAAUAAAAAAAUAAUUAAAAUAUAAAAAAAUAAAUUAAAAAAUAUGUUUAUUAUAAAAGAAAAAUAUAAUGUAAAAUAAUUCAGCAAUCCAAUCCGCUUCACACACUUGAAUUGAAUAAGACCUCUAGACUGUAGUUGAAGACAUUUGCCUCUGCUAGCUGAUAAAGUUACGUCCUCAGUCCUGACAACCAAAAAUGUCAAAGAAUGGGUAAAAUACAUAGAGUUCCGUUGUGGUAUGUAUCGCCAAAAGAUACAACCCUCCCCAUUUAUUAAAAGUCCCUCGUAUAACCAACUUAUAUUGUUAAUUAAAGUGAAAAAGUGAUUUCUAACCAACUGCGAGUAAUGUAGCAGGUCAUAUUCUUCUUUAUUGACAAAAUUAUAAUUCAUUUUAUAUUUUUUUUCUUUUUUUAUUAAAAAAUAUCAUUUCUUGCCUCUUCCCUCCUUUACAACACCAUCCCUCUUUUCUUAGUUUUUUUCUUUUUUUUUUCUUUUCCUUUUCUUUCCUUAUUUUUUUCUUUCGUUUUUCUUCCUCCCCCGUUGCCACGCAAUCACCACUAAUACACCAACACCACCACCUUCCUCUUCCUUCUCCUUCCUCUCUUGCCACCAGCCACCACCCCUUUCUCUUCCCCCCCCCACCACCCCUCCCCACUUCACCCUCCCUCCUCCUCCUCCCCAUUUCUACCUUUCCUCUCCCCUCUUUCCUGCCCCUCCUCCUCUAUUCAUCUCCUCUCCUUAGUUAAAAAUAUACAUUGGUUAUGUGGGGAUUUAAUAAAAAAAAAAUAGGAGAGUUUUGUGUCUUUUGACGUUAUCAUAGUGGGAUUUUAUUUUACCCAAAAAAUUUUUUUGCAUAACUCCAAAAGAAUGCUUUUAUAAUUCUAGUCAAAUUGUCGAAAGCUAAUGCAGCUCCAUGAAAGUACUAUUCCAGUACUAGUGGUUUUAGGUGCCAAAAUGACAAUCUCUAUACCAGAUGCUAAAGAAUAGCUUCUAUAAUCCUAGUGAAAAACCUAAAGAAAAGCAUGUACAGGAAAAGUUAGCCUAAGAAUAUAGUGGUCUUGCUUGGGGGUGGCCAAAAUUAUCUGCUAAUCCAAAAAUCCGUCAUAUCCGAUCCGAUCUGAAAAUUAGAAUAUCCGAAUUUGAUUAUUUGAUCGAGUCAAAAAAGGAUCGGAUACCAGCUAAGAUGUGGGACGGAUUAGGAUCACAUAAUUAAAAACCUGCGGAUAUCCGAUCUGCCCCGCAUAUAUAUUUUUUAUUUUUAUUUUUAUACACACACUAUAAAAUAAUAAGUUAGAACUAAAUAAGUAAUUUUAUUGAACAAAUUGCAUUACAAAUAUGGAAGACUAUAGUUUAUUUACAAGAUUCAUUUGUAGAGGCCAUAAUCUUAUAUUUUAUAAAAAAAAAUUUAAUUAAUAUGGAACAUAUAUAUUAAAAAUUGUGCUACUUGUUUCAAACUUUUAUUCAUUUUGAAUUCUUUUAAUUUUUUUCCUUUAUCUUAUAUUCUCUUCACAUGCUUAUUUCUUGGUGGAAAACCUUUUUUUAGAAAAAAAAAUUUAUUAAAUCUUAGAUGAAUAUGUAAAAUAUAAAAUUAAAUUAAUAUAAAUCAUUUUUUUUAAAAAAAUUAAAUAAUAAAUGGGACGAAACGGGUACUCACUAACCCGAUCCUAUCUCAACGAAUACCCAAUAAUCGGAUAUCAGCAAAACAGGUAAAGGUUAAAAAAUGACUGACCUGCAAGGUGCGGAUCGAGUCAGCCAAAUGGUAAAUGACGCGAAUACCCAACCCGCGCCUACCCCUAGUCUUGCUCUUGCCAGUGGAUUUAGAAGGGGCAGAGAGCAGCACUUCACCCUCGGCAAAUUUUAUGGUCAUUGAGCAACUUACAGAAUUUUUUACCAGUUCCUCAGUAACCAAUCACACUCAACCAACCCGGUAACCCCAAGGCCAGUUGUCAAAGUUGAUGUCAACUAUCCAAUUAACAUUUAUUAAGAACCUUAUAUAUUACCUAUUUAACUUACCAAACUAUCAUUAAAUCCCAAAAACACUCCUCUAACAAUCCAUAAUAAUAAUAUAUUUAUAAUAUAUAUAUAUUUAUAUUUAUAUUUAUAAAUGUAUAUUAUAUGUGCAUAUAAUUAUAAUAUAUACAUGUAUAUAAUAUUAAUAAAUUAUAUAAUUAUAAUUAUAAUUAUAAUUUUAAAUAUAAUAAUAUAAUAAUAUAAUUUUAGAUGUAAUUUAUUGAAACUUUUCAUUUUUCUUAUUAGUGUCAUGAUUGAAAUGCAAUAACUCUAACAAAAAGACAUGAGGGGCAUUUAGGCAUAACAAAAACUAAUAUCAAAAUAUGUUUACACUUACACUCUCUAUUGCCAAGAUCCAUCAUACUUUUUAUAUAGUAAUGAUAAUGAUACUUGCCAAAUCUGCUGAAGAAUUGAAGGAUUGCAUUGCCGCAUAAUAUCAGCAAUGAACCUUUCCUAAUUAUUCUCAAUGAUGCAAAAGUCACAUUCAUCACAUCUUUCUCUCUCUGAAUGCAUCGUUUCCAGUUUUAUUGGCAGAAUAUCAAAUUCUCCAGCAAAUUAAUUGAUACAAAAAAGAAAUGAAAUGCUUAAGGAAAAUUCGCGUGGUUGGGCUGUCAUUUUCUGUCUAUUAUGUUUGAAAUCAUAAUCUAUUGUGGUCUUUUUGGUAUAAAUGUUUUGUCUUUGAACUUGAUUUGAGUAAAUCUAGAGAAGGAAGCACCUUGACAUAACAUUUUUGGUAGCUGCAACACUUAAUUUUGGCCAAAUUUGAUGUUGGAAUCGCGUUGUGGAAAAGACUAUUCUCAAACCACCAUCCAACAUGGUGGUGGGUGGCGGCAGCACGCGGCCUUUGUGGUGUUGCCAUGCCUAGCAAUUGUUCCAACUCAAUGAGGAGGAAGAAGGUGAAAAUUGAAAAGAAAAAAAAAAAAAGGAAAAGCGCUAAAACUACAUAAUUUUCUCAUGUUUUGAAGACAAGGUGAUAAAAAAUGAACAUGACAAAUUUAACCACGUCUUUUGUCAUAUGCAUUGCACAUGGCGGCACACAUUCCAUUUGGAUUAUCGAUUAAUUGGACAAAAUGACUAUUAGCACCCACAUUUUUUUUUUCACAACAAUGGCCAAUUGAAAAUAAAAAAUAGUUGAGCGGUCAAAAAUAUGCUAGCUGAAUAGCUUAGUGCUGUCCAAAAAUACAGUAGCUGAAUAGCUCGCAUAUGGUUCAUAUAAGCCUAAUAGACACGGAGCCAACAAAGACCAAAGAACCUGCAACAUAUGAUUAAUGUGAAAAGUCAUAAAAGACUUCAGAGUUAAGUAACAUAAUAUAUCAUAGUAUAAUGUGUUUUCUAGGUAUGUCUAAAAUUGCAUCGUAGUUAGUACAGUUGUUUCGGAAACAUAUUGAUGCUUGUCUAAAAUACCUAAAACAUUUUUUUUUUUUUUGUGUUAUCUUCACCAUCCAUUUAACCAUUUUGCCGCCGGUAACUUAUUUAAGGUACUCUUUUUUUUUUUUUCUAUCUAAAACUUGUAGAUGAUUUAAAUAUUUUGCGGUUCAUGAUGUCUUCAACAAGGUUUGUGUUUCUAAAAUGGGUCAUAGAAACAAAUCUUAGUAAUAUCUCCUCCAAGUUUUACAAGUACAUACGCGUGCAUGUCUUAAGAGGGGACAACCAUUUCCAUCAUUUUCGGAGCUUAAGCACCUGGUGACAUUUCUAGUUUACAUAUUCUUAAAUAUUUCUUAGUUAGUGUCAUAUAUUUCAUCCAACAAUAACUUUAAAAGUACUUAGUUGGCCUUUAAAAUUUUCUUGGCGACCUGCAUAGAUGUGUAUUCAUGCUUACUGCUUCUACCAAGCAAGCCAAUUGCGACGCUUUUCAAGUAUAUUGUGUUGUAAGUCAAAGCUAAGAAUGUGUCAAUACAAAAGAUAAUUGCUAAUGUGUCACUACUUUCUUUGAAAUUUUUCGCAAUAUCACUUAAUGCGUCCUCCUAAACCUCCACAAUUAUCACUCAUCGUCCUUACCACCUAAAAAUCAAUAUCAUAAGGAACCAAUUGACACUUUUACCCUAGUUUUUAGGCUUAUUUGGGGAAUAUUUUCCCACAAAAAAAAAAGUUUGGCAUUUUUGUUUUCCUACCUUCUUUUGGAAAAAAUGCAGAAAUAUUUACCUAUUUUUAAAGAAAGUGUCAUAAAAAAAAUUUUAUCACCAAAUCAGAUGCUUUAUGUUGGAAAGUGUAAUUUUUGUUUUACACGAAUGUAUGCACCACGUUGGUUCAUGUUAUUCGCUUCAAAUAUUUUAUUGUCUUGAUAUUACUGGAAAAAGCCUACAUUUUCCGUAGCAAAUGCAGGAUUUUUAUUUUUAUUUUUGUAAUUUUUGCUUAAAAAAAUUUCGAUUGUAACUUUCAAUUAGAACCCAAAUUUCAAUCUCUAAUAUUGGAAGAUACAGGUGAAUUGUAUGACUUUACUCUAAACUUAAUCAGGGCAUGCUUGUGCUCUCCAAUGCUUAAUUUUAUAUUUUUUGAUUUCGUGUGGGAGAAGAUCAAACAGAAGUAUAAUAAGGUCUAAUGAUUUUUGUUGCAAGAUUUAGUAUACAAUGUUGGAUAUUGGAUUGCAAUCAAAUGAAUCAUCGAUGGUGAUAUUAAUCCAGCAACAAUGACUAGGACUAGGCGUGCCCCGUGAAAAGAAUGAGCAUCACCAUUCUCCACUAUGAAAUUGCAUGGCAUGGUAUGUAGCUUGCAGUUUCAAAGGAGUUUCCAUUUAAAUUUCAUGAAAUCGGUAAGUAUUCCACCCAAAAUACGAGCAAGUGGAAGCUACAACUUAAUAUGGGAAUUAUUCGCAAUUUUGAUUUUCCCUUCUUAUCAAAUACCAACUGAGAUGUUUUGCUUUUCACAUCAACAAGACAAUAACUAUCCCUCGUAUAAUUUAACAUCUACUCCCAUUUGUCACUCUAUUACAAUAGAAAGGCAUACCUUGACCAAAUAUCUGUAGAUACACGAAUCAUUUUUUUUCUUUAUAGCUACUACUAUGUCCAUCAUAAGUCAAGAAAAUUAAAUAAAAAAUAUAAAUUUCACACGCAACAGUCUCUUAUUUGACACACAUAAUUUUUAAAUUUAUGGAGCUUUACGGUAACACACCUACACAAGUUAAUCUUGUAUUUUUUUUGUAAAGAAUUGUCAUAGCAAUCGCAUCAAUUGUCAACAGGCAAGAUGUUUACUUUGAAAAAUCUUCUUCUAGCACACUUCUUCCAAGCCAUUUUACCCCAGGUUGGUAGCCAUCGGAUUAGAAAUGGUAACAAGAAGGCAACUGUUAGAAGGAUAUAGCCUGCCAUCUCUUUUUCCUGUUUCUGUCCUUUGAGAAUACCACUUACUGAAAAGCCAUAACUAAACAUCAUAGCAAAUACACAUAUCAGAAGCUCUCUUUGGAAUGGAAAUCCUCUGGUGAGAUAAAUUAUGAUGCUUAGCGAUGCUGUGAGGCCCAAGGAAUUCGAAAACAAGAAUAAGUAUGAAGUAGCAUGUGAGCCAAAGAUUGCUGAGGCCGCAGCAAUACCAGAAACAGCUACAGGAUUACGCUGUCUAAGCGGAGGUAAAAUAGAUGCUGGUGGCGGACCAGCUUGAUUCUCAUCAUUUGGCUGGUUAGACAUAUCUAAGAUGCUGGAUGGAGGGGUUACCCCCGCCUGAAAGGUUACUGUGGCUAUCAGGGCAGCAACUACUAAUAGUACAUUGCGCGUAUCGCUUGGGGAUUCUCUUUGAAUCUGGAAUUUGAAGUAGUUGAACCAGUCCUUCGAUGGUUGUGACUGAUGAUCAGCUAUAUUUUGUUGAUGUUUGGCCUGAGAAACAAAACUUAUUGAAUGAUUCUCACCUGCAUGUUGUAAGAUCAAUUGUCUUGAAUGAAAAUCAUCGGGACUUUCCAUCACAAUAUCAAGAAUAUCAGCAGCUGUCACCCCCUUAAAGUUCUUGGCAUUCACCUUGAUGGUUGCACAGAUGCCUUUGCAGAUGAGUAGCAAUUCUAUGGACUUAAAAAUGUGAAAAUUAACAGUUACAUCAAAUAUGAGGCUUUUCAGUAAAAGCAUAAGUUUCCACUUCUGAACUACUCUUAUUGAAUCAAAAUCAAUUGAAGUCUUGAAAGGGUUGUGUAUAAAGGUAUAGAAGAAGCCUACAGGAUUUGAAUUAGUUAAAGAUCACAGAAGUAAAAUGACUAUAUAUAGGUGUAAGUAUACCUCAUGUUGCUUUGUUGAAGCAGCAAUAUGCAAAACAGUGUUUCCAUUGAAAUCAGGCCAAUUUAUGAUUGAUUGCAGUUUGUUAAUCUCAAGCCACUUGACUAAAACUUUAAAUGCUUCAAAUUGGUAGCAUUUUAGAGCCAGGUGAAGUGCAGUUUCCUGACUAAAUGUGACAUCUUUAAGGCAAUCAGGGCAGGUGGAAAGUAAUUCAUCUAUAACCUCAACGUUCCCUUUACUAGCAGCAUAGUGGAGAGCUGUUCUUUGGCCUUUUCCUUUGAGAAGACAUAAUCCAGGAUCCAACCUCAGAAUUUGUUUCACCAUUUCGACGUUCCCCAUGAUUGCAGCUAUAUCUAGUGGCCGAAAACCACCUCUGUCAAAUUCUCUAGCCAGCUUCUUGUUGUGCUUCAUAAGCUCAAUCACAAAUCUAACAUGUCCACCUUUAAUUGCAACAUGUAGAACAGACUCCGGAGGAUUACCAAAUGCAACAUCAUCAAGAAGGGAUGGAUUUUCUUGAAGCAGUUUGUUUAGUAUCUCAGUAUCUCCCUCGCGAGAAGCUUCAAUAACCAAUUUUGUACUCUCCAUUCUAGAGGAUAUCAGUUUCUGGCAAGAACUAAUAAUCUCACGGGCAGAAUUUUUGGCCGAAGGUCAUGCACACAGUUGCAUCAUUGCCUCAUUGAACAAGAUAUAUGUACUUGCAUAGUCUACCUUGGAAUAAUUCCAUUUAGAAAAUUUGGGUUUAGGAACCAGUCAUUCAAUCACAUUAGUAAUUUGCGUCAACCAACUUCCACGGUUGUUAAGUGGAAAUUGGCAAGAAUUACCCGGUUGAAGAGCUGGUCUUGGUCUUUGUCGCAUAUUCUAAAAUUCUUGCCGUAUCAAUCCCGGCGUAUACGUGGGUAUUGCGCAUUGGUUUUCUUGAAACCGCCCUCCUAUUCUUUUGUUGCGUUUUCCCCUCCAACUUUGAAUAAUCUCAGUUGCCCAGUCCAACGCCCUCUCACCCGCCAUUGAUAAAAUUACUAGUUAACCCGUAAGCCAGUUUUUACCACCAACAACCGUAAAUAACACACACACUACCUAAGGAAACCCACAGUCCAACCCAAAAGGCAUGCUGACUUUCAGGCUACACUGAGAAUCUUAAGUAGUAUGCACACACCACUCACAAUCAAUAUAGGAUAGAGGGAAACGGGGAGGGAAAACACCAAGACUAUUGCCAAAGGCUCACACCACUUAAGUAGUAAGCCAGUUUUUACCAGCCCAAGAAAAUUCAAAAAGAUUUGUGAUAAUAAUGUGAUGAAGGUGGAAGGAAAUGCAAUGAACACGUUGCUACAUCUUGCCAAGUUCAUGAAAACCAUUCAAAACUGGUCCACACUAGACAUAAAUAUUCGGCUUUUUUUGAAUUUUAAAAGAGAGAAACGUAUCACGAACAUGAUUAUUCACCUGGUAGGCUGGUACAAAAUAGCAGAAUUUAUUUCUGCCCAGAAAGCUACAAUGAAAUGAUUAGAAUUUAGACAGAGAACGGAUUUCCUGUAAAACAAUUUAUAUUUGUGGCAUCAACCAGUGCUCUCUCUUUAAUGACACUAUCUUCAUUCUUCAAUAAAAAAAGUAGCUCAAUUACCAAAAGCUGAAAACGUAUUGUCUGCCUGAGAAUAGCUAAUUAAACAAGUAACUAACAAGAGAUAACUAAAUGAGAAACAAAACUAGGAAGAGAUUGAGCAAAUGAAUCUAAAGCAUGAAACUAGUUCCUUGGUCCUAAAAGGGAGAUUGUUGUGAGCACUGAGCUAUUUCACACUGCGAGAACAAAUUUGUUCUCAGACUGGAUCGAACUGUACACAUUCCAUUUCCAGGUUGCUAGCGGCCUAGCAACAGGUUAGCUCCUUGUGGACACGAAAGAAAAUUCAGAAAUUGAGCGAGAGAGAGAGAGGGAUUAAUAUAUGGUAAAAUGAGAUUAAACUCGCUAUAAAUUGACAUGAUUGUCCUAAUGAACCAACAAAAGAAAUACAGAACAGCGAUCAAGAAAGUAGCUGCAUACAUGCUGAAAAACAUCACCAGAACUGGAGAUCUUCCAUCUUCAAUCAGUUGCAGGGCUUGUGCAUGGUAGUCUAAACUUUUGUAACUUGCAAUGAUUCCUCAUUAUCUUGGUUACUAUAGGUAUCAACACCGGCAGAACUGCGGAUAGAAUGGUGAACCACAAAGUGAUGUCCUUAUCUGGUGAUAUUGCAGCCAUGGAAGUAUCAUAAGUUGCCAAAAGCGCAAAAAGAGAGACUAGCAACUCCAUUCUUAAGGGAAAUCCAGCAGUGAGAACGUUUAUCAUGUAAGUGGACAUAAAAAAUCCAAUUGAAUUAAAAAUCAGAAAAAGACCGUAAGAAGUCUUGCGGUGAGUGCCCAUUACUGCUUCUCCAGCUUUGUGGGGUUUGGUGGAUGUGGCGUUUGUGCCUGUACCUUGACUAGGCAAAUAGUCGUCUUGCCAAACGCCACCGGGUGGACUAAGCACAGCUUGAUAUGUUGCUGUUGCAAUUAAUACAGCUAACACAAGUAAUGUGUUUCGCACUUCAUUUGGAGAAUCUCUAAGCUUGUCAAACUUGAAGUAGUUUAGCAACUUUUCUGAGGGAGAUUGAGCACGCACUCUCCUUGACUGAGUAGCUGGUGUACUCUGAGUUAUGACAGCCAAAUUAUAGGAUGAUGCUCCACUUUGAGACGGCUGCAAGUCUGCUGCCCUUCUAGCCCCAGUUGCUUUAAGCAUUUCCUCUAUUUCUCUAUCGCCCCCUUCAGAUAAUAAGCUAUCAAUAGGCGUAAAACCCCUCUUGUUCAACAAGUUGACCUCAACUCUGCCCUCAUGAAAAACAUUUUUGUCGAGCAUGAAAUCGAUUACCUGCUAACGUAGUGUAAUUUCAGUUGCUGAACUUUAAAACAUCACGAGACAAUGAACCAAUAUUCAAGGCGUUUGCGACUCACCUCAUACUGCUUUCUCGAGACAGCAAGAUGCAAAAUGGACUCACCCUGAUGGUCCUUCUUAUUCAAGAUCUCCCCAUUGUUUGACCGUAACAGGUACUGUACCAAGAAUUCAAAGGCUUCGAAUUGGUUGUUCUUUAAAGCCAAAUGAAGGAUUGUCUCACCUCGUCCAGUCACAUACCCAACUGACUCGGCACAAGCAGAAAGCAGUUCGUGGAUGACAUGAAUCCUGCCUUUAAUCGCAGCAUAAUGAAGAGGGAUUCGCCUCUCUCUUCCCUUGAUCAGGCACAGAAAGCAAUUUACCUGCAAAAGCUCUUUCACAAUUUGUAUGUCCCCAUUACCUGAUGCAAUAUGCAAGGGGCUAAAUCCAUCCUGGUUGAGCUCUUCAGCAAACUCCGGCCUUAAAUGUAAAACCUCUUUCACAUAAUCAAUGUGGCCUCCUAUGCAAGCUAUGUGCAACGGAGUCUCAGAAACUGCCAAUGGAGCUGACCUGAGUAGGAGGGGAUUCUCUUUUAUGAGAUUAUGCAAGUCUUGAACAUUUCCUGUCUGCGCAGCUUCGAUGAGCCUCCAAUCCAUCCUCUUUAGGUAAUCUUGCAACAGGGGCCUUGAAUGAUUCAGGUUUCAUUAUUUAGUUUUAGCUCUUCGUUCUUGGAAAAUUCUGGAGGAAAUACUGAAACAUUUGUGUCCCUAUCAUUCUUUUUUGUUAUGCAAGUCAAAAGGACAAAAUAACUAAUCCUUUUGCGUUGACCUUGAAAAUGGAGCUAGAAGACAAGAAGUUGUAUCAUAGAUGAAAUCAGGUUAAGUGGUCAAAGAAGACUAGAAACCACUAGGUUUGAAUAAGGGCCACCAAAAAGGAAUUUAAAAGGACCUUUCUGGAUCGUAGGGCGGAGGUUCGACUCCCAUCUAUAAUGAAAAAAGUUCAAAGCCCUUUGAUUUAGUCUGGUUCUUCUCAUACCUACUACUAUCUUCUUGUACAUUUUUUCUUUAGGUUCCCCUCUCUCUCUCUCUAGAUUAGAAUAAAUUAGUUUAUAUAAAAGUUAUUGAUGCCACACAAAAAAAAAAAAGGUCAAAGAAGGUUAGAGUUUCAUCUGAUUGUAACUCAUUAAACUGUCUGUAGAGGUGUCAAAAUAGGUGAUUUGGGCGGGUUUGGGUUAAUUAAAAUAGGUAAUGAGUAUAAGCGAGUCAAUUCAUUUAUAUCCAUUUAAUUAGAUGGGUGUAAAUGAGUAAGUCAAAAAUGAAUUAGGUAACCCAAUUAUUCAUUUAUAACCCAUUUAUUUUAAUUUUUUGUAAACUCAUUUAAAUUUAGUUUUGCAAACUAAGUUAUUAAUUUAUACCACUCUUUGCAUUCAUUGUUAGUUUUAAAUAUUUACUUAUAAUACUCACUAAGUCUCAUUAUCAAUUUUUUUUCAUAUGUACUCUAUGUCGCAAAAUUACAUACUAUUUAAUAAUUAAAUAAUAAAAAUAUAAAAAUUUGUAUUAAGUACUAUAAAAGUUAAUAUAAAAAUUAAUCCAAAAAAUUUUUUUGACCCCUAUCAUUUUUUUCGUGUGUAAAUUUAAAAUUUCAUUUUGAAAAGGUAGGAAAAAAGGCUAAAACUUGUCAUAAAUUGGUAAUACUGAAAAAUGAGCAAAUUAACAAACUAAGAGAAAAUAAAAUGAUAAGAUAAAACCAACAAAUAAUAAUAAUGAAACAAAAGUAGUUAAAAUCAUGACAAAAUGAAAAUUUUGAAAAAAAAAAUAGGUGGGGGAAGACAAUUCUAAAUGGUUAAUUAGAUUUGAUGGGUUAUCCAAUAAUAUCUAUUUAUUAAAUAGGUAUUAUUGAAUAAUCCAUUUAUACUCAUAUGAAAUGUGGACAAUUACUUGUAAGAUUCGUAGCCUAUAACUUAGACGUGAUCCGAUCCCAACCCCUUCUCUGGGUCAAUGUUCCUCUCUUAAGCAAUAUGAUAAAAGCAAUGUAUGUGUUUGGAUAUAGUAUUAUUUGAAAUAAUUAUUAUAGUAUUUUUUUGUGAUAUAAUGUAUGUAAAAUAAAAAAAUAAUUAAAAUAUAAAAAAAUAAAUUAAAAAAUAUGUUUAUUAUAAAAGAAAAAUAUAAUGUAAAAUAAUUCAGCAAUCCAAUCCGCUUCACACACUUGAAUUGAAUAAGACCUCUAGACUGUAGUUGAAGACAUUUGCCUCUGCUAGCUGAUAAAGUUACGUCCUCAGUCCUGACAACCAAAAAUGUCAAAGAAUGGGUAAAAUACAUAGAGUUCCGUUGUGGUAUGUAUCGCCAAAAGAUACAACCCUCCCCAUUUAUUAAAAGUCCCUCGUAUAACCAACUUAUAUUGUUAAUUAAAGUGAAAAAGUGAUUUCUAACCAACUGCGAGUAAUGUAGCAGGUCAUAUUCUUCUUUAUUGACAAAAUUAUAAUUCAUUUUAUAUUUUUUUUCUUUUUUUAUUAAAAAAUAUCAUUUCUUGCCUCUUCCCUCCUUUACAACACCAUCCCUCUUUUCUUAGUUUUUUUCUUUUUUUUUUCUUUUCCUUUUCUUUCCUUAUUUUUUUCUUUCGUUUUUCUUCCUCCCCCGUUGCCACGCAAUCACCACUAAUACACCAACACCACCACCUUCCUCUUCCUUCUCCUUCCUCUCUUGCCACCAGCCACCACCCCUUUCUCUUCCCCCCCCCACCACCCCUCCCCACUUCACCCUCCCUCCUCCUCCUCCCCAUUUCUACCUUUCCUCUCCCCUCUUUCCUGCCCCUCCUCCUCUAUUCAUCUCCUCUCCUUAGUUAAAAAUAUACAUUGGUUAUGUGGGGAUUUAAUAAAAAAAAAAUAGGAGAGUUUUGUGUCUUUUGACGUUAUCAUAGUGGGAUUUUAUUUUACCCAAAAAAUUUUUUUGCAUAACUCCAAAAGAAUGCUUUUAUAAUUCUAGUCAAAUUGUCGAAAGCUAAUGCAGCUCCAUGAAAGUACUAUUCCAGUACUAGUGGUUUUAGGUGCCAAAAUGACAAUCUCUAUACCAGAUGCUAAAGAAUAGCUUCUAUAAUCCUAGUGAAAAACCUAAAGAAAAGCAUGUACAGGAAAAGUUAGCCUAAGAAUAUAGUGGUCUUGCUUGGGGGUGGCCAAAAUUAUCUGCUAAUCCAAAAAUCCGUCAUAUCCGAUCCGAUCUGAAAAUUAGAAUAUCCGAAUUUGAUUAUUUGAUCGAGUCAAAAAAGGAUCGGAUACCAGCUAAGAUGUGGGACGGAUUAGGAUCACAUAAUUAAAAACCUGCGGAUAUCCGAUCUGCCCCGCAUAUAUAUUUUUUAUUUUUAUUUUUAUACACACACUAUAAAAUAAUAAGUUAGAACUAAAUAAGUAAUUUUAUUGAACAAAUUGCAUUACAAAUAUGAAAGACUAUAGUUUAUUUACAAGAUUCAUUUGUAGAGGCCAUAAUCUUAUAUUUUAUAAAAAAAAAUUUAAUUAAUAUGGAACAUAUAUAUUAAAAAUUGUGCUACUUGUUUCAAACUUUUAUUCAUUUUGAAUUCUUUUAAUUUUUUUCCUUUAUCUUAUAUUCUCUUCACAUGCUUGUUUCUUGGUGGAAAACCUUUUUUUAGAAAAAAAAAUUUAUUAAAUCUUAGAUGAAUAUGUAAAAUAUAAAAUUAAAUUAAUAUAAAUCAUUUUUUUAAAAAAAAUUAAAUAAUAAAUGGGACGAAACGGGUACUCACUAACCCGAUCCUAUCUCAACGAAUACCCAAUAAUCGGAUAUCAGCAAAACAGGUAAAGGUUAAAAAAUGACUGACCUGCAAGGUACGGAUCGAGUCAGCCAAAUGGUAAAUGACGCGAAUACCCAAUCCGCGCCUACCCCUAGUCUUGCUCUUGCCAGUGGAUUUAGAAGGGGCAGAGAGCAGCACUUCACCCUCGGCAAAUUUUAUGGUCAUUGAGCAACUUACAGAAUUUUUUACCAGUUCCUCAGUAACCAAUCACACUCAACCAACCCGGUAACCCCAAGGCCAGUUGUCAAAGUUGAUGUCAACUAUCCAAUUAACAUUUAUUAGGAACCUUAUAUAUUACCUAUUUAACUUACCAAACUAUCAUUAAAUCCCAAAAACACUCCUCUAACAAUCCAUUUAUCAGUCAAAAAUUAUACACCAUCAUAACAGUUUUCUAUUUAUUUCACUCUCGUCAAUUUAUCAGUAAUCCCCACCAGUUCAUCCAAUAUUCCUCGAUCAACAUUUCCAUUUCUAAAACACUAAGUGUUAAUUUUGAUCGGUGAUGAUGGACAAGCAACACAAAAAUAAAUUACAGGGCACAGGGCAAAACGACCCAGCAUUUGUAGCAUAAUUGUCAGCACUCUUAAUGCUUAAUGACUUGAGUGAUUUCAUUGGCUCUAGGCUCAAGUGCUCAACCACAUAGAGGACCCAGGUAAACACCAACUUACAAACCUGUCCAAUGCAUUCGAAGUGCACAAGAUAGUAGUAUUCAAUUACUUUAAAGCAUGAAUGUGCCAGUGGAAACUUCAAGAGUUGUUUCCACUUUCCAAGCAACACUACGCCCACCCACCCACCCCCCCCCCUCCAAAAAAAUUUUUUUUGUUCAAGCUUCUUUUGCACAUUAAACAAUACGAUUUGUCCAUCAACAAGAAACUGUACAAGAUGCCAAAGUACCAAUGCUUCAACGAAGUAACCUCCCAAAUGAUGUGAGGAAUUGUCCCUUAAAUCCUGUAAGACUCAGACUUGGGAAUGCAGAUCUAGGAUGUUAAGAUGAUUAAAAUUUGAAACAACCUCCAUACCCCCAAUAGGCAAUAGCCAGUGACUUCUUCCCAGGUGGGCUGGCCACAUGCAAAGAAGGAAAUGAAAUUGCAAGAGCAAUACCUGAUGAAACACUAGUUGAGCAUCAGAAAAUAACAAGGUAGGCAGCACCACAAAGUUCUCCAGGUUCAUGCUCAUCAUGAAAAAAGCCCACUGUUCAACUUGGAACAGAUUCAAAAAGCAAUAUGACUCGCAGCUCUAAAGGAUGUUAUCAUGUCCAGCAUUAACAAUAAAAUUAAACAGUGUUGGCUUGCAGCACGCAAAUCCCGUUUGCCACCAACCAGAAAUAUUAUUGGGUUCAUCAAACUUUGCAAAACCAUCAUAACAUUUACUAACUAUCAAGAAAUAACAUUUAUCUAUGUGCAUAUUCAACGGUCCUAACAAAAUAAAACUAUCUGCAUAUCAGAUUGCCCAAACUCCCUCACGACAACAUUAUGGUGCCAGUAUUUUACAGCCAAAAGUACCAGUGAGUUUGUGUGCACGGUGAAAGAGUGAGAAAAGGCACACGAUAAAAUUAAGAGUAAGGAGCAACUCAAGUAUCAGAUCCAUAGAAACCAACCCUCAAACAAGAUGAAAUCACAUUUUUCCAACCCUUCCACCAUAGUCUUCUCUGUUAUCAAAGUAACAUCCAACAGGUUAAAUGCAUUGACAUGAUGACUCGACCUCAUAAACAGAUGCAUCAACUUGCAUCUAGCAAACUAAAGGAUUAGAUACUUAACUAGACCCCAAACACAACCAAUUCAAUCAAAAUAAAUCAACAUGUAAACUCCAAGUCCAUCUUAGAUUUAAAUAUGUAUAAUUCACCAUCAAACUCGUUAACUCUUCAGCUAUUGCCAAUCUUCACACAGGCAAGAAUAUUCAGGUAACCAAUAACCACCACAUCUAUAGAUAUGUACAGCUUCGUCUGAAAGCCAUAUGAUCUUUCCAAAGCUAAGACAAAAAAUCUUCCGAUGACAUAAACAGCUUCCACUCCAUACUGAUGCAAUAUCUCUACAAACUUUCCAGUGCUUUUCUACCAAUGGCAUCAGCUUAUCAAUAAUCUAACAUAAUCAAGGCACACCAGCAUUUCGUUUCUAACAGCAUCACAGCCAAUAUUUCAAGCUCAAAGACAAUGGCCUUAAUACAAUUGGCAGCGUAAGCAAACACAGAAGAAAAAAGCAAACAAUUGAGUCUGCCCUCAUACAUUCAGUGACGAUAUAUCUAGUACAUUACAUUAAAAGGUAGCCAUUUAACUAAGAAGCUACACCAACGUAAAGAUCAACCUACCACUAUCCCAAGUCCUACUUAACGUAACAAGAAAAAUUAGAAGUCCUCGGUCUAAACAAGCAUGAAACCCUCCUAAACUUAGUAUAGAAACCAGCUCAAAUAGUCAUCAUCCCAACAGCAC